rnacentral:lncRNA from 1 species
GGAAUUGGAUCCUCUCUAAGGCAAGGCCUCGAGAUCUUGCUGACCGAACAACACGGACCAUUAGAAUUUUGAUCUAACGAUUACAAAUAGGAAGGUUCAAGGAUGGAGCCACCAUGGGCCUAGGGGGGGCGGAUGCCCCCACUGAGAUUUUUCUGACGCUGGGAUGCUGCUCAAAUUGAGCUGGGUUUGCAGCAGCAGAGCCCCCACUGAACUGAUCUGGUUCUGCUCUCCGACCUGGUUCUGCAGAAGUUCUGGCUUUGUUGUUUGAGGAUGCCCCCAUUCACACAAAGUUCUGGCUUCGUCCCUGGGAGGGUUCAUCUAAAAAUUAUAAUAAUUGUAACCGUUGGAUUAAAAUCCAACGGACUGUGCUUUUGCCUCGAAAAGGAUCCAAUUCCAUUUUGGGGUAAACGUGACAUCGAUUGUCAGUAAUUUAUUAUGUUAUAUCAUACGUAGAUGUUUAUCAAUAUUAUAACUUAAGGGUGCGUUUGUUGCACCGGACUGUCUCGGACUGGACUAGCUUCAGGGACUAAGCUGGACUGGCUUAGACUAGACUAAGCUAGACUAGUUUAGUGAAGCGUUUGGUGUAGUGUCGGACUAAGAAGCAGGAUUACAAUAUUAUAUUAUUUUAUAUUAAUUUAAUAUAUAUUAAUUAAUAUUUUAUUAUUACUUUAUCUUGUUUUUUCCUUCUUCUAUAAUCAUCAUCCUCUCCAAUCUUCCUUUCCCUUUUUCCCCUUCUCCGAUCUCUGUUAACUUGUCCCUACACCUCUCCAUCCGCCUUUCCCUUUUACUACACCUCUCCAUCCCCCUUUCCCUUUUACCCUAUUUUUGUCCCUCCGCCUCUCCCUCCUAUUUCCCUUUUCUCCAUCCCCUUUCCCUUUUUCCCCUUCUCCAAUCUCUCUGUAACCUUAUUUCUCCACCCGCCUCUCCAUCCUCCUUUCCCUUUUUUCCCCAUGUCCCUCCGCCUCUCCCUCCUAUUUCCCUUUUCUCCAAUCUCUGUAAACUUACUUGUCCCUACGCCUCUCCAACUUCCAGCUUUCAUUGAAUCCCAUGCCGUAGAAAAUUGAGGUCGAUGAACCCAGGGCAGCGAAGAAGACGAAGGAGAUAAAGAUGCAGCGAGAGUGGACGAAGGCAAGAGAGGACAAUGGAAGGUCUUAGCUAGUCCUAUGGGUGUCGGGGUCUCUCGCUAAGACCGGCUAGUGAAGGAGUUUGUGAAAGCGAGUCCCACCUAGUGCCAUUAAUGUUAGUCCCGCCAGCUACCAAACACAGGAUUAUAGUCCUAUUUAAGCUAAUCCAAGCCAGUCCCUCCUAAGGAGCUGUAACAAACGCCCCCUAAGAUUAUAAAAAGGCAAUCAUACGUAAAUGUUUAUCAAUAUAACGACGUCACAUCCAAGAUAAAUUUGUUAUUCUUUCUUGCCAACACAAUAAUAUGGAUUCAAGAACACAAAAAUAGUUUUUUUUUAAUUUAUUUUUUAUCUUAAGCAACGCUCCUUAUUUUCUAAACAAAUCGAUUCAUAAGAGGAAUAAUUUUAAAAAUCUUGAUUAAUACAUUACUGAUCAAAUUAAACAUUUUGAAUUUUGAAAGCUUCAUAAAAUGCAUAUUUUAUGAACAAAUUGAUUCAUAACAAAAAGUGUCGAAGGUAGUACAAAUUUUGGUUAAUCAUGCUUUCAAAGUAGUUAUUCUUCUAUGUUAAUCAACGUGUAAACAAAUCAUCCAUAAGAAAAAGUGUCAAACGUAGUACAAAUAUUUGCAUGUUAGUCUUGUUGAGAUGAAGCAAUGUGAUUCACAUGCUAAUUGAUACUUGAAAACAACUUCUCGUUUUGCCAAGCGUAGUACAAAUUCAUGCCAUUUAGCCAAAAUCCAAGUAACAUGGCCACUCUUCAGUCUAACUGUGUUAUAACUAUGAAUAUAAUCGUAUCGUUCUUGGUUUCGAUGAAACCUUUGUCAUCGUCGCUGGCAUUAGCGAGUGAGAGUUAGAGAGAGCGAGAGAUCAAGUCGAGAAACUGAGGACUUGUCCUCUGUGUUUGAGUUUAUUCGAGUAAGAGAGGAGAGAGAGGAUAAAAAAAUAAAAAAAAAAGAGAGGAGAGAGAGUAAUUGUGUUUGGGGAUACAUGAACUGUUGAGAUCAAGUCUCUACCUCAUCCAAUGUCUCUUUUGUUUUGUAACAUAUAAAAAAUAUAUUUUUCUUUUCAGGUUUGUUCGGUUCGAGGGUAGUCAGGUAGGGAUCCGGAUAUCGGGCCAAAAAUCUCAGCCCUACCAUCUAUUUAAGUUUUGUAGACGUGAAUUAAGCUAGCUGAUCAGGUGUUGCUUUUACAUUCUCGUUCUUCAAGCUUAAACCUAAGCAUCUCUUAUAUAAUAUAAAAAAUAGGGCAUUUCACAUCUUUUCCUUGUAAUUUCCCGAUAAAGGAACCUAAAUUAUUAAUCUUCGUAGAAAUAUGUAAAUGAAAACAUUAUAUAUUUUUCUAUUGGAGAUAUUCUCAUAUAAAUUAUGAGAUAAUUGUAAACAUCAAACUACCGUAAAAUGAUAAUAAUUGUUCCAACUAAUCUAAUACCAAGACAAGUGAGGUAUCAAUCAUCCAAUAAACUAAUAAACCAAACCUCGGUUUUCUGAAACAAAUGCAACAAGAAACAAAUAAAAUUGUGCUGGAUUUGGAUCUAAAACACACUAAAUCGGGGUCCUCACGGUCUCAGAGCAAGAACAAAACUAUUUGGAAAUUUGUGCUCGUUUGCAAGUAGGGAAUAAAGCCCUUUCAUCUCAACCACAAAGCCGACCAACUUUCAUUGUUUUCUAGCCAUAUCUAUCACCGUUUGACACAGUAAAAUUAAAAACAAAUUGUUUUGGUUCCAGGCUUUCAGCUGCAGAAUUGUUCGUCUGAAUUACAAAAGGUCUGUGCAUUUCACCCUGACUUUAACUUUCGUCGCAUUAAUUUAUUUUGUUACACUUUCGUCCUUGUCGUUUUUAUUAUUUUUAUGUUUUUUAAGUUAGGAGCGUUACACCGGUUAUCAAAUACGACAAACUUCCAGGGUUGUCCAAGUGAGAAGAUUGAUUGCGUGAAAAUGUUAGUGGGUCACAAUGUUAAAUACAAGUUUUAAGAUAUAGAAACAAAGCACACGCAAAAAAAAAUCAAUUUGUUCAUUGAGGCAUUUCGUGAAGCAUGGUGUGCACAUGUCAACAGAUACCUACACAUGCCAAAACAAUAUGAUGAGUGAUACAGAGAGAAUUUGUUUGAGUGUUGUCGAUGCAAUUGUCGAGAUACGCCUAGCAGGCUUUACAUUAAACAUUUGAUAGACACAAAAGGAACCCACACCAAACCUUUGGAAAUUCCUAAGAGGUCACAUGUAUAUUUGUUAGACUCCGCGUUGUCUUGGGAUCACUUUGAUUUGAUGUCCAUCCGCCUCUAAAUGUGGAAAUCAACUUAGUUGACGAAUUGGACGGAAAAUGAAAACAAAACUCAAAUGCAACCAAAAAGAACUACAAGGACGAAAUUGAAAAUCCGAGUACAAGGACUUCCAGUGCAAUUUAACCUAAUUGUUAAACCAACAUCCAAAAAUCAGAUUCAAUGCUAAUUAUAGUUGUUAAUUAUGCAACUACCCAGAUGUAAUAUGCUGAUUCCCUACCUGUCUUCCAAGUUCCAAGUUCCAAUUACAUUUCAUUGGCGAUAUUCCCCCCAAUGGAGGACCAGAGAAUCAAAAUCUAGCCGGCCCUAAUUUGUUUUGUAGCUUCAUAAAGUGGCAUUGCGGGUGCAAUUGACAACUAAUUAAGGUAAUUAACAAUACAACCAAGUUCUAUGAUAUCAUUAACUAGUGAUUAGUUAAGCAAAAUCCGUACCUGUCAUAACCUAGGUAACACAUCACUCCAACUGAAAAACCACCACCAUAUCAAUAGUUUUGCAAUUGAUCACAGCUUCCCUCUUUUUGGUCGGAGCGGGCGGCCUAGAAGAAAAUUUGGACACAAACAAACACUGCUCGGUACUUUUAGCGUUAAAAAGUCAUUCAUGUUCAUCCGCUCAUCACAAGUUAAUACAUGAGAGAUUUUUGCACCUCCCCUUUGACCUCAUACAUUUCCCCUUUUUCUUUUUAACCGUUGGAUUGAACACAUCAUUUCACACACGAAAACUAAAAAAUCUGAUACCAUUUUUUCUGUCGGUUCAAUUCUUUAAUUUUGAUCCUAACCAAACUGUUAAAAAGUUGAUUAACAAAUUAUUCACAAAUUAAACCAACAUAUUUCAAAGUCUUCUUAUAUUAAUAUUAGAUUAAACAACAAACCAACAGAUUUCUAUGUCUUCUUAUAAUAAUAUUGGACUAAACAACAGAACCUUGUAUAUAAAAUCGUUCACUUCCAAAGACAAUGGCGCGAUAACGUGCAGUUCUGAAAGAAAAGAGGAGAGACAGAAUCAAGUGAGUGAGAAAUGGGAAGAAGCUCCCGUUGUGAGAAGGAUGGACUGCGCAGAGGAGCUUGGACUGAUGCUGAAGACCAAAUUCUGCUCGAUUAUGUCAGAGAGCACGGCGAAGGGAGAUGGGAGAAACUAUCGAGGGAAGCAGGUGAGUUGGCUUCGAUUCUACGUACGAGCUUCUUCUUAGUUACAACGCAUGAAUGUUUAUGAAAUAUGCAUUAUUCGGUGCAGGUCUGAAGAGAUGUGGGAAGAGUUGUAGGCUUAGGUGGUUGAAUUAUCUGAGGCCUGAUAUCAAGAGAGGCAACAUUACACAAGAAGAAGAAGACCUGAUCAUCAGACUCCACAAACUAUUAGGCAACAGGUACUUAUUGUUACGUAAACCUUGUAAGCUUCGUUAAGUAGUAUGUCCUAGUUAUGGGUGUUUCAUAGUUCUCGGUACAUGUAGAUGGUCAUUGAUAGCUGGAAGGCUUCCAGGUCGUACAGACAAUGAGAUCAAGAACUACUGGAACUCUAUCUUAAGGAAGAACGCACAAGAAAACCAAUCAGAAAGGUCUAGAAAUAAGAGGAAAACCACCGAAGACUUGGCUGCAGAGGCUGCGUCAUCAGUAGAGACCGAUUCGCAUUUUUCCAAAGAAGAAGUCAGACCAACAAACAAUGGAAUUGAAGAAAAGAAUACAGAAGCAGAAUCAGAUUGCCAUAAUGGAUUCUUACGUAAAACUAGUGACAGUGAUAUGCCGCGGAACUUCAUAACGGAUCUCAAUGAAGGGCAACUUAGCAUAUCUGAGUUUCUCCAUACCGACUUUACAAAGCUUUGUGAACUGAAUAUGAAGAUUGUUGAUUGCAUGAAUAGCUGUAGAAAUGGGUCAUUAAUGUCAACCCCAACCACCGAAGCUCCUUUGCAUUUGGAGGAGUUGCUAAAUGAUUGGGAAGCUUACGACUUUUAUCUGCCCUGAAGUUUCUUUGGGUUCUUGAUUCUUUUCCUUUGAGUGUCGAUAUCAACUAAAAUGGCCUAGUAUGUUUGCUUACCAUGCAUCCUUCAUCCAAUAUUUCCCAUGUAUGGCAAAUAUCAUUUGUGUUUGGUGGUACAAAGGGCAAAAUUUCGUAGGCUUUCUUGGUUUAGUUUCUAAACUAUACGUCCUUUUUCCAGGAGAUAGCUUACAGGAUAGGUCUUUUGGGUUUUGCCGUAAAUGGAACGCUCUUUUUAGUAUUUACUCAUUUUGUAAACAGAGAGAUCGUUGUGGUUACUUGUCAUUUUCAUUGCACAAUGACCUAAUUAAAGCUAAAAUGAGUAAAUAUAUACAUGAACACGAAUUAUUAGUUCGAUGCAUAAGUAGACAUAACCAACAUUUUCCAAUAUUAAUCAAUAUGUUAUAUCCAACAACAACAACAACAAAGCCUUUUCCCACUAAGUGGGGUCGGCUAAAUCAAUAUGUUAUAUCCAAAAAGGAAAAUUUAAUUCAACUUCAAACUCUGUCAGCAACAAACACUACUAAAAAAAUGCUUGAAACUCAAGCAAAUAGCCAAAAACACAUCAAAAUUCCAAGGCUAACAAGAGAACUACAGCCUAUAAUUAAGUGGCGUACCUUCCUAGUUCAGUCCGAUGGCUAUGCUCUACCGUAUUCAUCAGAAUCAUCACCAUCCGUGUCUUCUCUUUCAUCCAUGUUUUCGUCAUCCUCAUCGUUUUCCUUCUCCUUCCUAGAUUCUCCUUGCAUAUGUUCUACUUUACCAUCACCAAUGCCAUUGAAAUCCAACCUACUCAAACCCAUUUCGGAGCUUUCAAAAUUCCCAUUUGGCAGAUUAUGUGUAACUCCCGUCUCUCUUCCUGCAAUAAAGGCUUCUAAAAGCUCCGAAUAACCUUGCCUUUGAAUGCUAACAUCCAUGCUAACCGAAGACGAAGAUGACGGGACGGUCGGUGUUUUUGAGUACAGCUGACCCAAUUGACUAAAAUAAGAACAAGUUUUCGACUGAAGAGGACGCUUUUUCGCAGCGUCUUUGGUUUUCCUAAAGUACUUGUUGAUGUUCUCCCACUUUUGCUUGCACCUUCUGGCACUUUUCUGAUAGCCCAUUGAAGCCAUUAAAGCACUCACCUCUUCCCAAACAUGCCCUUUUGACCCCUGUUCCGCAAAUUUCGACUCUACACUACUGCGCACUAGAAUCAAAGCCUCGACUUCAUUUUGAGGCCAUCUGCUAUUUGUGUGUUCAGCUUUGGAGGGUGUCAAUUCCUCUGCGGUUUCAGGUUCGCUUAAAUUAUCGGGCUGCAACAACAAUGGGGUUUUCCUAGGAGGAAGGUUGACUCUUUGGCCAGUGAUUUUCUCAAUGUAUGAAACAAUGAGAGCUUCUCUGCUUGAAGCUAUAGCCUGCUCAUGGAGUUUGGCAAUGGCUUCUCUCUUAUGGUUCUCCUCCGCUUGACAUCUCCAUGCUUCUUCUCUCUCCCUUCUCUCUUUUUCCAUUUUUUCAAUCACUUCCAAAUACUUCUUAUGAAGAUUCUCUUGGUGAUCCACAACCUGCUUCACCAAGUUCUCAAAAAACCUAGUCAUUGAACUUAAUUGCUCCUUCAUAUUCCUCUUCCUCUUCCUCUUCUGAAUCUUCGUCACCGACACCUCUUCUCCAAUGGAGUCUUCCGAUCUGUUAUCCACCCUAAAUGUAUCAGCUGGAGCAGCAUUGAGGCCAUUAGAAUCACCAAAAACCACAGGAAAUCCCACAUUUUUCGGGCAGUUUUCGCCGGUGAGAGCAGAGCCAGAGCCAGUUUGAUUCUGAUUACCCUCCCCCAUCUUUGCAAGGUUAUAGAUUGCUUCAAGCUCACCAUAAAGCCUGUGUUUUUCCUCCAAGUCUCUGCAUCUCUCCCCUUCUUCCUGCCUCUGCCUGUUGUUUGUUGUGUCGGGGACUACCGUGUCAAGAGGCUUCCAACUGCUGCAUUAACACAAACACGUGGGGGGUAAAAACAAGGUCAGCAUGAAAAACAGAGAGAACACAGAACAAGUACAACAAAAAAGCACGUAAAUUUCUGCAAUAUCAACAAAAUUUACCACAUGGGUUCUCUUAUAAUCCCAUAAUAUUCUUGGGUUUGCCAAUUUUUGAAUCCUAAGUUAUGUGGUCCAGUGUUUUCACUGAGACCAAGCUUGAAACUUAGAGGGCUCGGCUGCCAUGGCAGCCUGCUUUCUUCCUGCUGUUCUUCCUGCUGCUGCUGCAGCAAUGCUUGGAACUGGAGAUGAUUCUGUCGUUGAAACAGGUCGUGGGUAAUCGGAAUCGGUUGAGCUAUUUGACUGAGAUGACUAAACGGCUGCUGCUGAUGAAACUGUUGAAGGAAAUGGUUCUGGUUUUGCUUCUGAGGAUUGAAGAUUGGUAAAACUGAUGAACUAGAAUCCAUGAAUUGUUGGUUACCAAUCUCUGCUGUUUCAAAAUUCGACUGCAUAUCUUUUUUUCUCCAAAUCGAAAACAGAAAAUAAAAAUGUUUUUGUCGCUGUAAAUUUGAAAUAUUUGCAGCAGGGGAAAGUAGGGUUCUUCUUCUUCUUCUUCUUCUUCUUAUUGGAAAAACAAAUCUUAACAGAAAGAUCUUUUGAAAGGUUCAGAGAGUGAGAGUAGGGAAGGAUAAGAUUGUGGAGCUCCGAGAGUUCGUCUAGUCAUAUUAUCGUUCUUUGUUUCUUUUUCGAAAUAUUUGUUUUGGAAUUUGACAAUGUUCUUUUGGGUUGUUUGAACAAAAUAGCUAUUUUGAUUUGCUUUAUAUAAAUUAAUAUAAAUAGGAAAGAAACUAACAACAUUGUCGAUGUUUUUGUUAACAAUGUGAUGAAAGAAUUCUCCGGUUUAGUUUAUUCGGCACGCGUUUGACAUGCACAAAAUGUUUUUUCUGACAAUAAUAAAGUUACGUUCAUCGCUAACGAUCACUUUAAAUCAAGUCAUUAUGCAUCACCUGACUUUUUAAACACUGUUUGACACAUGUUCGCCAUGCGUUGAAUGCUAUUUGUUACUCAAUUAGACAUUUGAACACAUCUUUAUCGUCAAAUUUAAAUCAAGUUAGGCAUAUGUUGUAGCACGUUUCCUGACUUUUAAAUACGUAGAAGGCUAUAUGUGACUCAAUUAACCCCAUUAGAUUCUUUGUCGCCAAUUUUGAAUCCAGUCCGUAUGUGUUAUGGCACUAUCUGUGAGUAGAGCAAUUAUCUUCAACCAACUGCAUUUCGAAUUUUUUUUUAUAAUUCAAUAAAAAUAUAAAUCAUGAAAUGUUCUCCGGAGGAAAUUUGCUUCUUGAAGAGAGAUCAUUCUUGGAUUUCUUCCUCCUAAUCUACCAAGGACGGAGAUCCGGAUCGUUAAAAUUUGAUCAAACAGCUAAAGUUAUUAUUUUUAAAGUGGGUCCCUAUUUGUAGCCGUUAGAUCAAAUUUCAAUGCUCGGAUUCUUGGACUUGGUUCGUUAGGAUUAGGAGAUGAUCCAUUUCUUUUGUUCCUCGAUACUCCUGAUGGAUGACAUAGUCACGUAGCAACACGUGCGAUGGUAGUAAAGAGCUGAAAGGGAAGAGUAAUGUUAUUCAUAUUAUGUUUUUAUAUCAUAUUUUUAUAUCAUCUUAGGUGACAUUUGAUGUGGACAGCCAUAUCAUUUGAAAAAUUUGCAAAACCCAAGGAAAUGAAGGAGAAAAACUCAUCGUAUACCAUAAUCAUCAUUUAAUUAACUAGUUUUUCUUAAUUAUUAGUUUAUUAAAUAAUGAACUAAAUUUAAAAAUCGGAUUAAUUCAAAUGAUGUGGCUAUCCACAUCAAAUGCCACUUAAGGUGGUAUAAAAAUAUGGUAAAAAAACAUGGUAUAAAUAGCAUUACUCGAAAGGGAACGGACGGUAGGCAAUCUGAUGGGGGCCCCCAGGACACGUGUUGGAAUCUGAAUAUUCUGUCGUCGUCCGACAUGAAAGAGAGAGUGACGUCCAUUUGGAAGCAUACGAUGUAUGUGGCACGUGAACAGGAGAGUACACCGGCCAUGCUGUCGACUUGUCUCUAAAGAUUAAGUCUAAUGACCGGUCGUGAUUUCAUAUCCCAUCCAACGGCCAGUAUCCAAAGUUUGCAAGUGUCAGUUUGACAAUUGUAGGAUCGCUGGUAGACGUGUCAAAAAGUGAUUGUCGAAACCUCGGCGACAAUAGUCGGCUCUCGAUUAGUCAUCACACGGUUAUACUGUUAUCGUAUUAUUUUCAUGCUACUUGAAUUAUAUAUGACGUAUAAAUAUAAUUAACAAAAAAAAUUUCAAUGUUUCGGAAAUAUGGGCCGCUACAAUAAGUGGCAUAAUACAAUUAGUUUGAAAUUAAAAAAAAAAAAUUCAUCCAAUUGUAUUAUGACAUUUAGUGAAUUUGGUUAUUUUCUUGACACACCGAAAAAUUUCUCAUGAUUUACACGUGAUGUCAUGAAGUAAGUAUACAUGGAUGAAGAAAAUCUUUUACCUCAUUUUAAAGGUGGUUUCUUUUUGUAGAACUGAUUUUAUUCAUUAGUGAUUUGUUAUCGAAACAACUCACUUUUAAUUGAUUAAUUUUCAUGUGGAGCUUCAUUUUUUACUACAUACUGUACAAGUGGUUUCGGUUUGCCCAUAAUCGCUCUCAAACGAGUCCUACUGUACAAAACUCAUUCAACAAUGAAGUUAUUAAUGACAUUCGAAAAUCAAAAUGUGAAAUUGAAAUAAUUUUCCAAUAACUUUAGGGUACAAUCCCUAAUGAGGAAAGAUUUUAAUAAAUUAAACUUUGUAAUUUUUAAAAUUUCACCAAAAAAUAAAAUAAAAAUGAUAAAGACACUUUAUUUUUCUCCUGUUAUUUGAUUUAUUUAAUUUAAUGACUAAAGAUAAAACACACUGAUAAGAGGCUAAAAAUCGUGUGUGAAAAUCUCCUCCUUAGAAGCACCUUGGAUGACAAGUAGCAGAUAUACAACCCAUUGAUUGCAUCGCUGUUCUGUUCAUCAUUUUUUCUAUCUUUAUCUUUAUUUUCAAGUUAAUGUAAGUUGCAACUCAGGGUUUAGAGAUUUGUAUCCUUCCAUCUGAAAUCGUGUGUUUAAAUCUUGGACGCCACUAGGCAAGAACAACCGAAGCUUUAACUGCAAAUGGCGUUCGCAACCAAAUUUAACUGAUAAAAGGGGAGAUGGGGAAGGUGUGAAACCCCAAGCUAGGUCAUGCCCCAAGCUUGUGUCUUAAACAUACAUACAUAAAUUGUCAUCCCUUUUGUCUUUAAACACUUGUCUUCAACCACUUAGUACUACUGUCAAAUAGUAUUCUUCUUUACUUGUAAGUGGGAGGUAUUAUCACCAAAUAUGAGUUUGAACCAUAUUAUUGCUAGUCCAUUAGGAGGCUAGGCCUACUCCUUUUCUCUUAGUGUAUAUAAUAUCAUAUGUUAAAAAAAAAAAAAAAAACACUUGUCUUCAAAGCCGGCUUUAAUUUGCUAUCGUGGGUCAAAACGGAAGAACUUUUUAUUUGUUGAAACUUUCUCCAUUAUAGCAGGUUGCCCCACGUGUAGGCCCGACCCUAGCCUAGGGCAGCUAGGGCGACCACACAGGGCCUCAAAAAAUUGGGGGCACAAAAAAAUUUAAUUUCUAUUAUGUUCAGUAAGUGUAUAAAAAUAUGAAAUUGGAUAUUUGUUAUAAGUUGUCAUUUGCAUUAGUGUUUCGCUGUUUUCUUGCAAUGGAAAUGAACACGGGUUCGAGACUCAAAACUGCCUAAUUUUUUAUGCAUUUAUUUCAUCUUUGGUUUAAAUAAGUAGCUAUAUUUCUAUAUGUGCCUUUGACGAAAGUGGUUUUUACAAAUUCAUUUCAAUUAAUUACCACCCUUCGGCAAAUAAUAAUAAUAAUAGUAGCCACCCAAGUUCAGAUCAAAAUGAGGGCCUUUUUCUUUUGGGAAUUUUAACGAAAAACUCCCGGUAUUAUUUACUAAAAAAUCAAUCCUGGUACUAUUCACUUUUCCCUUUAUUUUGUUCUUAUCGUUAAAACUCAAAGUUUUCAAGUCAUUUUCAUUAAUUUUCUUUUUUCUUUAACAAUGAUGUUCUGUUUCAAUAUAAUGUUAGGGUUUAGGGUUACUUUUCUUUCUUAUCCAAGAAAAAUGAAUUAUAUUUUUAAUAACAUAUAUGUGGUAUUUGGUUUUUCAAUAAUUUUUUUGGUUCAUUCAUUGUUUAUAACAUUAUAUAUAAAAAUUAGAGAGCGAAAAAUAUGACAAUUCUUAUGAGGCCCCAAGGGACAGUAAAUUAGAAAAUUAUCCUGAUAAUUAUAAGUUUUAUACAAAAACACAUGUCAUACUUUAAUUGAUUUUUGCUUGUGAAAUAUUUGUGUACCCUUAUCUAAUUACAAACCAAAGUGUAAUGUUAUGACUUAGAUGUGAAAUCUAUUUUUUCGUCACUUAUAAAUGAGAGGUCUUAGGUUUGAGUUUUUUUAAAUGACAAGUUAGAUACCAAAUUAUGGCCAACCCAUCUUGUUGCUUAGCAUAAUCCCUCACAUCCUGCGAUCGUUUUAUCAAAGAAAAGUUACAUCGGCAUGAACAAAUAUGAACACUAAAACAAUUGAGUUUCUUUCUUUUUUUUCUUCUUUUUUUUCCGAUGUGGAGUUAUACUAGAGCACUUUUUUUGGUAUUGCCCCGGGCCUCAAAAAUCUCAAGAUCGGCCCUACCCACGUGUGAAGCCUAACGGUCACACGUGCUUCAUGUCAACCCGUUUGUAUUGUCCACGUGUUAGGCUUAAAAGUCCACCACACAUACUGAGGAGGUGUGUGAGAAUGUGAUACAAAGUCUCACAUGGGUGAGGGACUAAACCAUGCAAGGACUUAUGAGAGGUUGCACUCUUCAUAUUGUCAAUUGAAUUUACGUUGAAACCUCAACUUUCUUCAGUCAUGGCCUUAUACUAAUUAAUCGAAUAACUACCUACUUUCUGGUUUAUGGAUAAAAAAAACUUACAGGGGAUGGUGAACCAGUUGUUCUGGUCUGAUUAAUAGACUGGAAAGUUUAGUCGGACAUGAAGGAAAAUGUGAACUAGAUAUAGCUCCUGAAUUUCAAAACUUAGCUGGUGAUGUUAUAGCCAGAACAGCCUAUGGAAGCAACUACGAAGAGAAGAAAGUAUAUGAGCUCCAAAAAAGCGAACUGUUCUAGUACUUUCCAGGCAAAAGGUAUACAGCGACGCACUUAUUAAAACCAACAAUACUUUAUUAUGUACUUUUUAUUUGCACAUUACUACUUGGCUAGUGGCAUUCGGUUUUCGCUUUGUUAAAGCAUGUUUUGAGUUUAAAUUUCAUGAACAUUUCUUAGUCCUAGUUAGUUUUUUCUCCCGGUACAAAUUCAUACCCACUAAAAAGAACAGGAUGAGGUACAACUUGGACAACGAAAUCAAAGCAAUAUUAAGGGGUAUGAUCAGCAAAAAAGAGCAAGCAACCAUGGAAAUGGUGAAGUGGGUGCAAAUUAUUUGAUGAGUUUACUAUUACAAUGUAAAGAACAAGAGCAAAAUAGCAUGAUAAUUGAGGAUUGAUAACAGUAAGAUUGAGCUAUGGUUGCAGAAAUGGAAACUAAGAUAGAGAGCUCGAAGAGAGAGAAAGUAGAGAGGGAAAACUGUAUUUUCAUUAUAUCAACAAUUAUUACAAGAUUUGUCUAUAUAAAUACAACCACAGAUAGCUAACUCAAGAAUCGCAAAUACACUUGUGACACAUGGCUAUUCUAUAUAUUGACACAUGGCAACAAUCUAAUAAUAUUAUCCUCUACACUCUAACAUUCCCCCCUCAAGCUCAUCCAAGUUGGCAAGAAAAAGCAAAAGAAGAUGUCCUACGUCUGCGUGGAAAGAACACACCUGAUUUAGUUGCCCUAAAUUACAUCAAAAUUAUAAAUCGCUUCCUGCUUAAUGUUACAUGUACUACAAUUACUUGCUAUAACAAAACAAAAAAAAUAUCAUCAUCUUUAAUGUUACACACGUGGUUAACAAUGUGAUAAGUGAAUAUGAACAGCAAUUUAAACCCAAUUCAUUAACCGGAUUUUUUGUUGUGUGCAAGUGUCGGCCUCGAAAGCGAUUCGCUUAUGAAUCUCCUAUUGAAGAGUUAUACUAUGAUCGCUCUGUGGUCCCCAUGGAGAAGCCUCAUAUUAAAGGAAGUUCUAAGGUAAUACCCGCUCUAUACAGGCACACCCAAAACACAACCAAUGUAGGAGGCAUUUCCAAAUCCCAGCUGGGGUUUGAAUUUGUGGUGCUGACUAUGUUUCUUCACUAUUGUCCAAUAUAUUGGGGUGAAAACAUUGAUGAAUUCAAUCCAGAGAAAUUUGCUGAAGGAGUUUUACCUAAAUAAUCCCAGAAUUUCGAAGUCACCUAAGCUAACUUUUCCAGAUUAGCCUGUGCAUGGAUCCGUGUCUGGCCAUAUGCGCUUUAAUAUCACUCGAUGUUCGUUGUCAACAUUUUUGUGCGGUUGUCACAUCCUUUUAGUUAUAGUAAAACUAGUUGCUAAAUUGAGCUUGACAUUAUGCUAUACGCAUGUAGUCUCUAUUACAAACUUGGUUACCCGAUCACUUUUUUCGCAGGUUUGAUGAUACUGAAUGCAAAUGUCUUGCUUCGUUACCCCAUCACCUUUUUCGCAGGUUUGAUGAUACUGAAUGAAGUUUUUAGGUUAUAUUCACCUGUGCUACUUAUGUAUAGGCACACCUUCCAGAAAACCAAUAUAGGAGGGCUUUCCAUCCCAGCUGCUGUGGUAGAUUUGUGUUUCCUACUCUGAUUCUUCACACUGAUCCAAAAUAUCGGGGUGGAGAUGUUGAGGAGUUCAAGCCAGAGAGAUUUGCUGAAGGAGUUGCGCAUGGUUUUUCUGUGAUAAAAGCAAAGAUGGCUCCGGUUAUGAUUCUUCAACAUUUUACUGUUGAGCUCUCUCCCUCAUACAUUCAUUGUCCUGUUAUGUACAUUACUGUGCAGCCACACCAUGGAACCCCAGUCAUACAGCAUAGGAUUUAAGAUGCUGAAAUUGGUGCCCAAUAAGUAGAUUUGAAUAAAGGUUGGAUCUUCAUGUAAAUUUGAGUGCAUAAAAGAUUGUAAAAUAUUUAAUAUCGAGUGCAUAAGGUGGAGUUUAAAAAUCGCUACCAUUUCUUAUAAUAAAACUAGUUUCAAAUUAAGUCCAAAACUAUUUUAUUUAUCGGGUAUUGGUCUCAUUUUAAUUUUCUGCACUUCUUUCAUUAUUUUUGUCUAUUGAAUUUCUUUUGAUUUAUUAAAAUUUAAGGCUCUAGAGAGGUGUGCACGAAAAUAAAUCAGAAUAUGAAAGUCACUUCUCUUUUAGCGAAGGAGAAUCAGAGAAAGGGUAUCCAAUUUGAUCAAGUAAAUAAUGUGGAUAAUGUAUUGGAUAUGAAUUUACAGCAAAUCCAGGAAAAUAAACCUCAACUGAAAUUAUUACGUAGUAAAGGAACAAACGUGAAGUGGGAUUUUCCCAGAAUUAGCGACGAAAAAAACCCUUACAAAUGCACUAAUAACAAAUUAACAAGUAUCAGAAACCCCGAAAAGAAUAUAAAUAAAAACAAUGCUCAAACGUCCUGCAAAGUAAACCAACUCUCAUCCAUUUCAAGGAAUUUGUUCAACCACUCCAAAUUCAGAGACCCUUCGUCGCUUUUGUCGCCAUUGGAGUUGGACAUGAAGUUCUCACGAUUGAAGGCAUCUUCUCUUCCAAUUGUCAAACCAUUCACCUCCAUUGCUUUUGAUAUUCUUACGCUCAGACGACUCUUGCUCUGUUUCCGAAACUGCUCUGUUUUGCUUCAUCUUUUUGCUCAAGUUAAUGAGAGGUUCCAGUAAUUCUUGAUCUUGCUAUCUAUUCAGAUUAUAGCAGUUCAGAAUAUCGUGAAAAACAAUAGUCUUUCGUUUUUAAAAAGUCACAGCAGUACUGGUGAAGACUUAGACAAUUAAAUAAGUUUAACUACCUAUUUUCAUCUGCCGUUCUAACUCAAUAGCCUUUGAUUGUCAAAGCCUUUAGCCCGCCAUCUAGUUAUUAUCCAAAAGAACAGGAAAAUAACUUGUUACUUGUAAGCAUCAUCAACCACAACGAAAAUCCAUCCAUUUGCUUAUGCAAGCAAAAUCUGUUUUUGCAGAUGCCAUAUAUUCAACUGCAACUUGCAAGAUCACUGCAACGUAUCAAAUAGUGGAAACAUAGUUGAAUAUCAAAGUGCCUGAUAACCUAGAUUACAAAAUAAUAGGAAUAUUAUUAAACAAACAAAAAUGUCGAAACGGCUACAAAAUCCCAAGAGGCUACAUCGUGACUAACUUGUUCUCGACCGAAUAACAAGCAUGCUACUUAUAAUAAACUAACCAUAAUCCUAAAAGGUAAGAAACCGAAACCCUAAUGCUAAUGGGCUAAGCCCAGAAAACCAAACAUUCAAAUAAACCAAAAUAUUAAUAUUUUCCAACAAAGAUAUCAUAUAGGAGAUCUCCAAAUUAGUCUAAUAAUUUAGUUCAUCAAAUUUGAAAAGGAACUCUUUCCAAAGUUUAUGCAGAAAAAUAUAUUGGACGUAACUGUUGGUAUUCUCAAAGUUUACUAACUUAAUACCAAAAAUAUUUGGGUGAUAAGUUUUCUAACUUUAUCACACCCCUCACUAUCACUCUCAAUACAAUUGGACAAAGAAACAAAAUAAAUGAAGAAGCAAACUUUUUGUGUUGGACAAACUGCACGGCAAACAAGCAAACACUUUGAUAUAUCUAAAAACAGUUUACAAACUGAUGGAAUAAGAAAGCUUACAAGCUUAAAUGGAAAAAAGAUUCUGAUGGAAUGGGAAUUCGGAUGGGUUUUUCUAAAGCCUUACAAGAGGCUUAAUUAUACAUGCAAAAGUUACAAACCACUCAAGUGCUUUUUAAUAAAAAAAUACACACACACAUGCAAUCAAUGAUGGUGUUUACCAUCUUUACACCCUUUCACACAUGCACCACCUUUUGAUGCACACACAUACAGCUCUUCUAAAAAUAGUUUCACCACUUUCUGAAAAGUGUUCCACUACCUUCGGCUACUGUAUUUGAUUUGAACUUCCAACACGCCCCCUCAAAUCAAAAUACCUUCAUGCCUAGCAUUUCACGCAGCAACUAAAAUGAUUCAACUGGCAGUGGCUUUGUGAAGAUGUCAGCUACUUGUUCCUUCGUGUGACAAUGGACAAUUUAUUGUCUUUUGCUUCACGUGGUCCCUUAGAAAAUGGAAUCUGGUAUCAAUAGGCUUGCUCCUUCCAUGUUGGACUGGAUUCCUAGCAAGCUUGAUAGCUGAGAUGUUAUCCACAUGAAUCACAGUCGAUUCCACUUGUGGAUGACACACUGACUUCAACAGAUUUCUUAACCAAAUUGUCUCACACACAGUUGAGGCUACAGCAAUGUAUUCGGCUUCACACGAUAACAAAGCAAUAAUUGAUUGCUUCUUUGAAGUCCAUGAGAAAGCUGUUGAUCCUAGAAAAAAACACAUAGCCAGUUGUGUUUUUCCUUUCAUCUUGGUCACCUCCCCAGUCACUAUCUAAAUAACCAAAUAAUUUUGCAUCUUCACCAAAAUUAUAAAACAUACCAUAGUUUAGAGUACCUCUUAUGUACCUCAAAAUUCUCUUAGCGGCCAGCCAAUGAGACUCCCUUGGUGUUUCCAUGUACCGACUCACGAGUCCAACACCAUAAACUAUAUCAGGUCUUGUGAUUGUAAGGUACCUUAGGCUUCCAACCAAGCUUUUGUACGCGGUUGAGUUUACAAACUCACAUUUUCCUUCCUUGGACAGCUUCAAUCCAGUUGCAACUGGAGUGUUGACAAUAUUGCACUUGUCCAUAUUGAAUUUCUCCAAUAUAUCUCUCAUGUACUUUUGUUGAGAGAUGCAGAUACCAUCACUUUCUUGCUUCACCUCUAUGCCAAGAAAGUAUGACAUUAAUCCAUUGCCAGUCAUCUUAAAUUCACUGAACAUGGAUUGCUUGAACUGCUUCAUUGUUUCCUGUAAACAACAAGUCAUCUACAUAGAGACAAAUAAUUAAGAACUCCCAUUUUGUACCAUUCUUCAUGUAAUGAGAAUGCUCGUAUGGACAUUUCUGAAAUCCAUUUUGGUGAGGGUAGUUAUCAAUCAUUGAGUUCCAAGCUCGUGGUGCUUGCUUGAGGCCAUACAAAGCCUUCUUCAAACGAUACACCUUUUCUUCUUCUCCUUGUACUUAGAAGCCUUCUGGUUGUUCCACAUACACUUCUUCCUUAAGUACUCCAUUAAGGAAGGCUGACUUGACAUCUAGUUGAUAAAUUUUCCAUUUAUGAUGAGCGGCAAGAGAGAUUAGCAAUCUUACCGUGUCAAGUCUUGCAACUGGAGCAUAGACUUCAUCAUAGUCCACUACAUACUUCUAUUUGUAGCCCUUCGCUACAAGCCUUGAUUUGUACCGAUCCACACUCUCAUCUGCAGUGCGUUUGAUCUUAUACACCCACUUGACACUAAUAGCCUUCUAAUUUGGUGAGAGCUUUGUCAACUCCCAAGUGUCAUUCUUCUCGAUGGCAUGGAUUUCUUCCUCCAUGGCUAUUCUCCAACGAUCUUCUUCCACAGUUUCAUUGAAUGAGAGAGGCUCAUGGUCUGCAUACGAGCAGAAAAGGUUGGUUUCUUCUUCUUCUUCUUCUUGUUCAUAUAUCUCGAUAAGACUUCUUAGCCUCACUGGAGUUGAGGAGCUGCUUUCUUCACUUGAUGUAGGGCCACUCCUUGCAUGUCUGUGCAAUGGAGUUGUUGUGAUUGUUUGAGCAGGCUGUUGCUCGACAGGUGGUACAACUUCUGGUUCUUCAAAAUCAGUGGAUAUGAUAUUCUCUUUACUGACUUCUUUAUUGUUCCACUUCCAUGCAUCUUCCUCACUGAAGAUGACAUCUCUACUAACCACUAGUUUGCCAAUUAGUGGGUUGUAGAGUUUGUAUGCCUUGGACUCUUCACUAUAGGCCACAAACACACAUUUUUCACCUUGAUCAUCAAGCUUCCUCCUCUUGGCUUUUGGAACUUGAGCAUAUGCAACACACCCAAAAAUCUUAGGUGUGCAACAUUCAGCUUGUAUCCACUCCAAGCCUAUUGUGGUGUCAUCCUCUUGACACUCUUUGUUGGACAUCGAUUAAACAAAUAAAUUGAACAAGCUACAGCUUAUGGCCACAAUUCUUUUGGCAAAUUCUUCUCUUUAACCAUAGACCUUGUCAUGUUAAGGAUGGUUCGAUUCUUUCUUUCGACUAUCCCAUUUUGUUGUGGGGUAUAGGCAGCAGUCAGUUGAUGCCUAAUUCCUUGCUCCUUGCAAUAUGCUUGGAAAGCAUUAGAAGUGUACUCUCCACCUCUAUCUGAUCUCACAGCCACAAGCUUAUGGUUAUUUUCAGCUUCUGUGAUUGCCUUAAACUCCUUGAAGACUCUUAGGGCAGCCGACUUCUCUUUGAGAAAAUAAACCCAAGUCUUCAUACUAAAAUCGUCAAUGAAGGUAAUAAAAUACCUAUUACCUCCAUAGGACAUAGGAUCUAAUGGACCACAUAUAUCCGUGUGCACUAACUGUAAUGGUGCUUUUGCUCUCCAUGUAUCACCAACAGGGAACGAUAGUCGUGCUUGUUUUCCAAGAACACAACCUUCACAUACUUAGUGUGUGGCUUCAAUCUGGGAUAGACCACGAACCAUUUCUCAACUUGACAAUAACUUUAGGCCGUUGAAAUGAAGAUGGCCAAACCGAAUAUGCCAUUUCCAUGACUCAUCUUCUAUCACACCAAUGUUGCAGCUUCCAAUCUUUGUGUUCAACUUCAACGGUAACAUUCAGUUUUUUGACAUUUGAACACGUGCAAUAAGCUUUCUCCUUGCAUUCCUGAGAAUGAGAAGCAUAUUCUCCAUAUGUAUAACAUACCCUUUCUGGAGCAGUUGACCAAUGCUCAGAAUGUUGCUCUUCAUACCUGGUAUGUAGUAGGUAUCGGAGAUGUAUUCUUUUCUACCAUCCUCUGGAUGAUUUUGAUUUUUCCUUUGCCUUCAACUGGCAAUUUUGAGGAGUCACCAAGACUCAUAGAUCCAUAAGGCCCAUCUUUGAGUUCGGCAAAAAACUCUUUCUUUCCACACAUGUGGUUGCUUGCACCAGAGUCCAAAUACCAAACAUCUUGUUGGCUACUGAUAUCAUGGUGUGCUAGUAAGACUGUAAAUUCCUCACCAGCAUUUCCACUUGAUUCUGCCAUGUUGACAUGCUCACCAUUUUUAUAUGAACAUUCAUUGGCAUAAUGUCCAUAUUGCAUGCAACUGUGACACUGGAUAUGCGCAUUUCCUCGAGUAGAUAUCCACUCUUAAGAUUGACCUCGGUUUUAUGCAUAGCCUCGACCUCUUCCUCGGCUACGGUUGGAUGAGCUUCCACGACGUGAAUUCCACUGUCUACGACCUCCAUUUGGUUUGUCAAUAUUCAACUUUGACUCCAAAGCUUGCUCUAGCGUUGUGGGGCUUGCAUUCUUCUAAAUGCGUUGUUCAUGAACUAGGAUGGAUCCUAGCAGUUCCUCUGCAGUCAUCGUCUCCAAAUUCUUAGAUUCCUCAAUGGCAGUCACCACAUACUCAAAGUUGGAUGUGAGUGACCGAAGGAUUUUCUCCAUGACACGAACAUCGUCAAGCCUAUCGCCAUUCCUUUUCAUUUGAUUCACAAUUACAAGUAGUCGAGAGUAGUAGUCUAAAAUGUUUUCUCCUUCUUUUACAUGAGCAGCCUCAAAAUCUGCUCUUAAUGAUUGAAGCCGAACUCUUUUUACUCGAUCUACUCCUUGGUAAAUUGUGCUCAAAGUGUCCCCAGCUUGCUUGCUGGUUGUUGCUUCUGCAAUCUUCUCGAAUGUUGAAUCUUCUAAUCCUUGAUAUAAAAGAUACAGCGCCUUCUUGUCCUUCUUUCAUAAGUCCUUAAGAGUAUUCCUUUGAUCUGCAGUGUAGGCAGCUUCUUGCUCAGUAGUGGGUUCAUCAUACCCAUUAUUGACAAUUUCCCAUAAGUCCUGUGAUCCAAACAAUGCUUUGAACUGGAUGCACCAUCUUUCAUAAUUUUCUUUCUUCAAUGUGGGAACCUGGAGCUGCACUAAGUUAGAUGCCAUAGCUACUGCACUUGCCAGAAAGGUAAUCUGGCUCUAAUACCAAUUGUUGGUAUUCUCAAAGUUUACUAACUCAAUACCAAAAAUAUUUGGGUGAUAAGUUUUCUAACUUUAUCACACCUCUCACUAUCACUCUCAAUACAAUUGGACAAAGAAACAAAAUAAAUGAAGAAGCAAACUUUUUGUGUUGGACAAACUGCACGGCAAACAAGCAAACACUUUGAUAUAUCUAAAAACAAUUUACAAACUAAUGGAAUAAGAAAGCUUACAAGCUUAAAUGGAAAUGGGAUUCUGAUGGAAUGGGAAUUCGGAUGGGUUUUUCUAAAGCCUUACAAGAGGCUUAAGUAUACAUGCAAAAGUUACAAACCACUCAAGUGCUUUUUAAUAAAAAUAUACACACACAUGCAAUCAAUGAUAGUGUUUACCAUCUUUGCACCCUUUCACACAUGCAUCACCUUUUGAAAAUAGUUUCACCACAUUUUGAAAAGUGUUCCAACAAUUUCUUAAAAGUGUUCCACUACUUUCGACUACUGUAUUUGAUAUGAACUUUCAACAGUAACAACUCUGCAACUAGGGUUUCUGAUUUUUCAAGGUUGGUAGAUAUAUAUAUAUGCUUUCAUUUUCAUCCCUAAACCUCAGUCUUUCUGUUCGAAUCAAAAGUUUAGAAUCUAUAUCAAAUCUCAUGCAACAGUUUACUUGAUUAGUAAGUAAUACUAGUGUGACAUGUUCCAAAAUAUUUAGACAAUAUACAAGUUUUCUAGAACAACAUAACCUAGCUAUAGCUCCCUCCUUGUGCUCAUCAGACAAUCAUUUUCGACACGAGCCGAAACUCAACAGGCUAAAUGAUACUCGAGCAGACUUUAAGCCCGAAUUAAUUAUUAUUAACUAACUUAUUGAGAAAACACAGUUAGCCACCAAGUUGCAAUCCAAGAGAUUACAAGAUAUAUAAUAAUUAAUUUGUAAACAUGCAUCAUCAAAUGUGAAGAAAAUCAUAUUGCUUCUGGAAGCAAGAUCUGAUUUGCUUCCUCAUGAUCGGCUUCGUGAAGAGUUUGUCAUAGUACAGAGAUUCUCAGCUGCCAUUCAUUAUUCAACUGCAAGAUCUGCUGCAGAUGUUCAAAAUCAUAUAUUUUUCUUGACUUUCAAAUAUCAAGUAGCUAGUGGUUUAUAUCCCAUAAGAUGAUCCUUCCAAAAGGAUAUAUUAAGAAAACUUUCGUUAAAAAUUGGUCAAAGUAACUUGAUUCAUCCAAAUUUUCAAGAUUUCUGCAGAUAAGUUUAUAUGUUCCACAAGAAGGACUUGGAUUAUAACUAAUUGUUUGACAUUGUCCGAAACCAACUUCAUUGUUUUCAACUUUUCAUAACUAUAGCUAUCUCAUAUGCCGCCAAUUUCAAGCUUUGUAUCACGCAAAAAGAUUGGACAAGAUACUACUAGUCUAUAAUUAGUAGACUGGUGCUCGACAUUGAAUUGUUAAGUGUGAAUCUCAUAUCGGGGAAUUAAUUGAGACAUUGUAUAAGCUAUGAUCCAUGUAUUGCGAAUUGGUUUUUGAGUGGAAGUCAACUUCAAUUCCUUUCCGGUAUGAGAGCAUACUAUCACAAUAUCAAAUCCCACGCACCACAAUAUCUUUUUUUUAAAAGUAUAUUCUGAUUAUUGAAUUAUGAAACUACUCCUCGUCUAAUUAGCUAUUGAAAAUGAAUGAUGAUCAAAUAUGUGCAUGUAUAAGCAAAUUGACUUUGCAAUAUGAAUCAUUCAUGGGUUUCAAAUAAAUAUCAAAUACGCACUCUCAAACUUGAUUUGGUGGAUACGUACGUUGGAUAGAGUAUAUGUACUACAGACAAAUAUAUCUGAAGGUUAAUUAUAUUGAACAAUAUGUUAGUUCGAUAAGUAAGUUUAACACUUCAGUUUAAACCCUUUAAUUCUUUGAGAUUUCACUUCAGAGAAAGAAACUAAGAUUUCAGAUAAGGUUUUGAUUAAUGAGUCUUAAUAAUGCAAUUAAGAACUUAAUUAGUCUUAUUGGUGGCAUAUAACAACUAGUAAAAAACAAAUCAAAUUUUGGACUAAUAUAAGGGUAAAUAUUCAAGUGGAAUAUGACCAGAAUCCAUAGCAAAUCUGGGACAUGAUUUAAGCAAAGAAUUAGACAAGUGUUAGACGUAAGAUAAUACGAAAGGAAAUCGAGGAUUAGAUUGCAACUGUGGCAGUUUAUGACCGUUACUAGGUAUAGCUAAUUAAGCUAGUUUUUAUGUUGACCAAGUCCAAGCGUUUCCAGCUUCGUAGGAAAGAGUAUAACCUUUGUCAUUAUCUAGCCAAGUUUUACUAGUUAUUGCUAUCAAUGGUCCGUGAGAUCUUGGACCAGGUAGUUAAGAUCAUAUAAAUCUUCGACUUUUGAUGCAUGUCCUUCUCGUUUUACGUAUAUAUAUAUAUAUAUAUAUAUAUAUCAGCUGCCAUAUAUUCAACUGCAACUUGCAAGAUCACUGCAACGUAUCCAAUAGUGGAAAGAUAUCAUAUAGAAGAUCUCCAAACUAGUCAAAUUAAUCAACUUAGUUCAUCAAAUUUGAAAAGGAACUCUUUCCAAAGUUUCUGCAGAAAAAUAUAUUGGACGUAACAACUCUGCAACUAGGGUUUCUGAUUUUUCAAGGUUGGUAGAUAUAUAUAUAUAUAUAUAUAUAUAUAUAUAUAUAUAUAUGCCUUCAUUUUCAUCCCUAAACCUCAGUCUUUCUGUUCGAAUCAAAAGUUUAGAAUCUAUAUCAAAUCUCAUGCAACAGUUUACUUGAUUAGUAAGUAAUACUAGUGUGACAUGUACUCCAAAAUAUUUAGACAAUAUACAAGUUUUCUAGAACAAUGUAACCUAGCUAUAGCUCCCUCCUUGUGCUCAUCAAACAAUCAUUUUCGACACGAGCCGAAACUUAACAGGCUAAAUGAUACUCGAGCAGCCUUUAGCCCGAAUUAAUUAUUAUUAACUAACUUAUUGAGAAAACACAGUUAGCCACCAAGUUGCAAUCCAAGAGAUUACAAGAUGUAUAAUAAUUAAUUUGUAAACAUGCAUCAUCAAAUGUGAAGAAAACCAUAUUGCUUAUGGAAGCAAGAUCUGAUUUUGCUUCCUCAUGAUAUGCUUCGUGAAGAGUUUGACAUAGUACAGAGAUUCUCAGCUGCCAUUCAUUCCAACUGCAAGAUCUGCUGCAGAUAUUCAAAAUCAUAUAUUUUUCUUGACUUUCCAAUAUAUCAAGUAGCUAGUGGUUUAUAUCCCAUAAGAUGAUCCUUCCAAAAGGAUAUAUUAAGAAAACUUUCGUUAAAAAUUGGUCAAAGAAACUUGAUUCAUCCAAAUUUUCAACAUUUCUGCAGAUAAGUUUAUAUGUUCCACAAGAAAGGACUUGGAUUAUAACUAAUUGUUUAACAUUGUCCGAAACCAACUUCAUUGUUUUCAACUUUUCAUAACCAUAGCUAUCUCAUAUGCUGCCAAUUUCAAGCUUUGUAUCACGCAAAAAGAUUGGACAAGAUAAUAACCGUAAAGCUAUAUGUUGAUCUAGUCUAUAUAAUUAGUAGACUGGUGCUCGAGUUGAAUUGUUGAGUGCAAAUCUCAUAUCGGGGAAUUAAUUGAGACAUUGUAUAAGCUAUGAUCCAUGUAUUGCGAAUUGGUUUUUGAAUGGAAGUCAACUUCCUUCCCGGUAUGAGAGCAUACUAUCACAAUAUCAAAUCCCACGCACCACAAUAUCUUUUUUUAAAUGUAUAUAUGAAACUACUCCUCGACUAAUUAGCUAUUGAAAAUGAAUAAGGAUCAGGUAUGUGCAUGUAUGAGCAAAUUGACUUUGCAAUAUUAAUCAUUCAUGGGUUUCAAAUAAAUAUCAAAUUAUACGCACUCUCAAACUUGAUUUGGUGUAUACGUGUUUGAUAGAGUAUGUAUACAGACAAAUAUAACUCGUUAAUUAUAUUGAAGAGUAUGUUAGUUCGAUCGAUAAGUAAGUUUAACACUUCAAUUUAAACCCUUUCCUUGAGAGUUCACAUCAGAGAAAGAAACUAAGAUUUCAGAUAAGGUUUGAAAUUAAAUAAAAUACUACCGCCUUUGAUUAACGAGUCUUAAUCAUGCAAUUAAGAACUUAAUUAGUCAUUGGUGGCAUAUAACAACUAGUAAAAAACAAAUCAACUUUUGGACUAAUAUAAGGGUAAAUGUUCAAGUGGAAGAUGCCCAGAAUCCAUAGCAAAUCUGGGACAUUAUUUAAGCAAAGAAAUAGACAAGUUUUAGACGUAAGAUAUUACGAAAGGAAAAUCAAGGAUUAGAUUGCAAAUGUGGCAGUUUAUGACCGUUACUACGUAUAGCUAAUUAAGCUAGUUUUUAUGUUGACCAAGUCCAAGUGUUUCCAGCUUCAUAGGAAAGAGUAUAACCUGUGUCCGUAUCUAGCCAAGUUUUACUAGUUAUUGUCAUCAAUGUUUUGUGAGAUCUUGGACCAGGGUAGUUAAGAUCAUAUAAAUCUUCUGACUUUUGAUGCAUGUCCUUCUCGUUUUACAUAUAUAUUUUGUUGGGUAAUGUAGAUAUCUAUCAAUAGUAUUUAAAAAUCACCCAUCUCAAUACAUAUCAUACGAUGGUUAAAGAUUAAAAAUUAUAAGUUAUAUGGUGCAUAUCUAUAGUGGCGAAACUAUUUAUAGACUAGAGGAUUUCUAGGAUUUUUUGUUCUCAAAUGAUUUAGAACAUAUAGAGUAUACCUAUAGACUGAGAGUGAAGUCAUGUACUUAGAAGUUUGUAACACCCCCCACACCCCCCCCCCCACUCAAUGAUAUAUAUCACUGGCAUCCACUACUACAUGUCCCUCUUAUCAUCGAGAUUCUACUAUCCCGAAAUAUAUCUCGACUAUUUCUACAAAUCUCUCGUCUCUACACGUAUAAUGUGCUAAAGAUUAGAAACCAAAAAGUUGUUAAGUUGUCCCCGCCAUUUGCAUGGUUGCAUACAACUCAAUUACAAUCAUAACUGACACAAAGUGAACCGUCACGACAAACAAGUUGCUAUAUAAAAUAGUCACGCACUUUAAUCAUAUAGCAAAUGAGAACAAAAAAAACUUGAUUCCUCCUUUUGCACUUUAGGACCAAAUAAUAAACCCUGUGUUUUCAUUUUCAUGGAAACGCACUUCAAAGUUUUCAAAGUAAACGCAAUGACAAAAACCUUGGUUCUAUCGAAAAAGAACCCCUUUAUUUCAUUUUCAUCGAGUAGGGUUAGAUUAGUGAUCAAUCAAAAGCUUUACCCAAUUAAUGUACUAUUUUCUAAUAUAUCUUUUUGUUGGAGUUGCUUGAAAUAGUUAGUACCUCGUCAGUGGAUAAUUUUUUUUUUUUUCAAGUGUCCCUCUACUUGUAUAAUAACAUAUGACAUGUGUCAAAUUCCCACACAUUGAUAAUCUUUCAACCAUAAGGUCCGAUCCUUUAUUUUUUAAGAACAAAAUCUUGAAUUUUAGUUAUCGAAUGAAUGAUGAUUGAAACGAAGAGGUUUAACAAUGGCCCAUAUUUUUUUUUUCAAGAAAAAAGUGGAGCAAUAAACGACAAACCAACACAUAAACAUCCAAAAUAAUUACCUAGGUUAAGUUCUUCACUUAUAUAAUCGCAUAACCUUUUUCUUUAAGCUGUAAACAACAAUUCUCUUUCCAACUUUCUUUUGGGAAACAAAAAAUCAAUAAUAUAUGUUGAUGAUAAAAGAAUUGUAAACUUAAAAUUAGGUAAAGGCAUAAGACCUAAUUCAUGACCUAAGAUCUUGAACUUCAUAAUUUUUACAAACGAUUUGCGGAAUACAUCAAUUAUAUAUCAUUCUAAGUAACCAUCAAAUGUCAUCUACAAUCUCUAUCUCGAGAGAUUUGUAGACGAGCUGUGUACGUGGAGAAAAUUAGUGUGAGAUCCCAUAUUUUUAGUGUGUAUUUGUGUAUAUUGAUUUUACUAGGAUGAACCCUAAGUGCUUAGUAAGCAUGUUUUUAACCAAGUUAGAGACACAUCAUACCUGAUGAUUACUGUUACUAGUAAGCUUUUGAGUUGGAAUAAUGUAGAUUAGCACUAUGUGUAUAUUGCAUGGAGAUGACUAAGUUAUGUGCUUAGCUUGCUAGAUGAUUAAGUUAGGAGGUGGCAAUAAAGUUACAUGCAAAUGGGAUGUGUAAGUGAGUCAGGGCAUGAGCCGUGGUAUAUUAGGCAAACUUUUAUCCAUAUUCAGAUUAUAGAUGUGCUUGCCAACAUUUCAUCCUACAGAAUGUGUUGUUUUGCCGUCAUUCUUGUACUAAAGGCUCCAUGCUUUACUACACGCAAAGCUUUUGAGGAAGUAUGCAAUGCAUGCAGAGUGCUUGCGUAGAGGAUGAGGAGAAGGGAAAAGAAAGAAAAGAGAGAAAGUAAUUGGUUGUUUUGGUGGGAUUUGUUAGAUAGUUGUCUUGCUAAGGUUUUAUCAAGGUUCUGAUUAUCAAGGUGCAUGAGUGGCUUAAGUAAGGUGCCCUAAGGCUUUUUAUUUUUCGAAACCACAAGUUAUUCUGGAUUUUACCUUAUUUCUAAAUAUCUCUCUAUUUUCAAGUUAAGCAUGUUUGAUUUCGUGUAAUUGCUUUUGAUGUGUAUGUAUACAUUUUAUGUAGAAUUACUUGAGGUGUUCAUGGAGCAUGAGAACUUUAGUGGGUUAUCCGAGGGAUAAAUGGAUGCCACAAGGGAACAUUAAUUUAGAACGGCCAAUUUACUGGUCACGUUGUGAGCUACAUAUUAUCAAAGAUAACCAACAUGUGAAGAGACGAUGUGAUAUGGCAUGAUAUGUGAUGAAGACUUUGAUAUAAUUAUACUUUGUUAUAGUAUGAGUAAAACAGCACACUUGACUAACAUACUACAUAUUUUACUCAUUGGGCAACGGUGGUUGUUGCCCACCCUCAUCCUUUUAUUUUUCAAAUGAGUUAUUUGGCAAGGCAAGUGCUAGACAAGCUGGGGUUGUGUUAAUGGAGAGAUUUAAGGAUUUGAUUUAUUUCUGUACACCCAGUAAAGAUUUUGGAGUUAUUUUUUUUACAAGAGAAGUUUGUUUUUAUUUUUACUUUUACUUUUAUUUUUUACUCGUGUGCCUAGGGCGGGGUUAAUUUUUCCCCAACACUGGUAUAGGGUGCAACAAUUAGGUUUUCUAUCUAACCUUGCUUGCACAUUAAAUGGGGAUAUGCACCCUAAUACGUGUUUUUCAUCAGUGUACACAUUAGAUGGGGAUAUGCACUAUUAUAAGCAGAGAUAAUUAACUACCACCAUCACACUAAUAAACACGAAACCAAUUCUCGUAAUUUGACCAAUAGGAUUGCUUCCAAACCAAUAUCAUUAAACCGAAUAUAUCACCCAUAGACUAUGUCAUAUGCUCCACACUAGAAUAUUAGAAUACUCUUACAAAGAUUACAACUGAAAGAGAAAAAACUUAAUCCGGGACAGUUUAAAUGAAUAAGAGUACACAUCAGAGGCCGGACUGAGAUUGCAUGACAACAUUACCCCUUUUCUGGUUAUUCUAUUGUUAGAAAAUUUAAUUAGUUAUGCCUCGGAUUCGCACUUUGGUUUUGCCUUAUGGGCAAGAAUGCAAAUUGUGGCAGUUUUCAUAUCGCAGAAAGGGUUUUUAAGUGUGGUGCGAAAUAAAAUGCUGUACUUGUGCAUGAUCAAGCUGAUCUUGGUCAUUCAUACUUAUACUUGUUGAACAAGCAGAAACGAUCAGAACUAACAUUCAUACAGGUGUGCCACAUAUAUCUUCCUCUCCUUUCAAAUGUAUUUUUGUUUUUAAAUUUAGAAAGUUCGGAGUGCACAAUAAAAAAAUUGGAGUGCAAAUCUACUAUUAUUAAAAGGAGAGCAAGAGUUUGAAAUUAUUAUAAUAAUUUAAGGAAUGAGUAGUUUUGAACCCGAAACUCAACAUCUUAAUCACUAGAAUAUUGGACCCAACAACACCCUACAGAGCACCCGAAAUGCAUGGGUAUAAAACUAGCUAUAUAACUUGUAGUAUAGAACUCGAACAAACAAUUGUCAAUUAUAUGCAAAGCUCCGCCGCAUAUAUAUACUUGUGCAUGAUCAAGCUGAUCUUGUUCAUUCAUACAAUAUACUUGUUGAACAGGCAAAAACGAACAGAACUAACAUUCAUAUAAAUGUCGACUAAUAUUAUCAUAUUAGUACUUUUUAAUGUAUAAAACUAACUAUAUACCUUGUAGUACAGAACUCGAUUAAACAAUUGUCAAUUAUUUGCACGCUGAGCUUGUAAAAUCUUCUGACUAGAUCAUGUGAUUGACUCCUAAUAAAUAGAAAAAUAGAUCGUUAAACUUAGGGUUUGACAACACAACAAUAUAUGGAAUUAACUAACUCAGAAAACAAUGUCAAUCCGGUGACUUGUAUAAAACAAAUGAUCAACGUGAUCGCUAUAUAGUUUAGUACCAGAGUACAUGUCAGUUUGACAUUUGGCAUAUUAAUUUACAAAAUAAGUAUUUCUUUCAUAAAAAUAAUAUUUGAACCAACAUAGAGUAACUCAGUGGUUAGAGACAAAUUUUAGACCGUAUUUCAUACAAUAGAUUCUAGGUUCGAUUACUUGCGCUGAUGAAUGACAUGUUGUGGCCAGAGGGAAAUUGAAAUAUCUCUCGAGUCUUUCCGACCUCAAAAGAGAGUAUCGUGACGAAACUACGAGCUGAUCCUUUUUUUUAAGAAAUAAAAAAUAAUAUUUGACCUUUAUGGGAUAACUCCACUAAUACCGCAUGUUUUAGCAGGUGUUUUCCAGUGGGAUGCUUUGGGUCUGAAAUUUUUAUUUAAUAUUUUAGCAGAAGAUGUAAACAUUUCUAUUCGUAUCUAAUAAAGUCUACUUUUUUACCCCAAAAAAAAAAGGAUUAAUUUGCUUCUAAUUAGUCUACUGCACUUCAGUUCAGGUAUCAUUAUCGCGCGAUAAACAGUCUAAUAUACUUCACUAUUUCUUAAUUUGGUUGACUUUUGGUAAUUAUUGUUUUGACUUUUAAUGUUUUUAUUUCUUUAUUUUUUGUCAAAUUGACUUUUUAUGUUUCAGCAGCAUGAACAUAUCGUAUAAUCGGUUAUUACGGGUACAAUGUAUGACUGCGCAUGCCCAACUACAUAUCUCAACGACUCCGUACCUUCCGGCCUGUGAUUUUGUUACAAGCGUUGCUUCAUAUGCCAAAUUAAAAGGAAAGAAAAAGUAGGUUCAUAAACAAUUAAUUAUACAUAAACCACGACAAGUGGUCUGGUAGAAUUAUGGUAGAAUAUGUAUACUGUAGCCAGGGGCGAAUCCAGGGGGUCCUCCUGGUCCCAGCACCCUACGGAAGUUGGAAGAUAUAGGAAGAAGGUUGCCAAGGGACCCUAUGGCCAUCUGGUAUGGGACCUGAGCAUGUCAACAAACAGUUCAAUGAAAUGCCCCUUAGGCAGAAUUUGACAUGCAUUGACAAGUGAUGCUCAACAGCCAUUGGGACAAGCCUUGGCAGCACGCCUUGGUACGUAGGGCUUUACACCAUACCGUAAAAAUUGUCGAUAGAAUUCGAAAGAUAACGAAAUGCCCACCAGAUGCUCGACAAAAUUCCUCAAUAAAAACAGUUUGAAAAAAAAUUGAACUCUGCAGGGGCUUGAAUCUUUUACAUUAAAACCCCAUGAGGUUAGACUUCUAGAUCCACCAUAGAUUCCGAAUAAAAUAUUCAAACUAUAGAAUAUUGGAAUUAUAACAUAAGCGGUGUUGACUUAAUUAACAUUUUUUUUUAUAUAUUGAAGUCCUACAAAGUGCCUGGUCACAACAUAUGCAUAAAGCAUUUGUUUCAUAUUCAGCCUUUUUUUUUUUCCCUUCUGAAAAAUAAGAAAAGCUAAAGAGUUUGAUUUUAUUUUACACACGACAAGAUUUCACCACAACUAAGUAUCGAGUUUAUUAAAAAUAUAUAUUAUUUUCACAUAUGUAUGAGCUGAACUUGAAAUUCCUCUACCAAGUGACGAGCUAGUUUAAAAAAUUCUUAGCUGGCUAAUAACACAUUUAUUAAUUAUUUUCUAGUAUAACUAUAUUAAAAUUUAAAACUUUUGUGAGCCAAUUACAAGAAGCCAUGUGGAAGUUGGACCAUGGCAAGUCUAUGUAGCCCCGUCUCUGAAAACCUAAAUAUUUCUUCUAUUAUUCCAACAAAAGUAAAUAAAUCUUUCUUCUAUUUUAAUUACUUACUCAUAUGAAAUACCACUUCAACUACAAUUAUUUUUUCAGGUUGAUCAAUUAGUCUUAUUUUAUUUAUUUAUUUAUUUAUUUAUUAUUAAUUAACUAACAAAUGAAACUCACCUAAUAAAAUUUUCGUUCGACAACUACUACUUCGUCAUAAAAUAGUUAGGUUAUAGCCAAAGCCGUCGAAGUGUAGCUAAUCAGGGUUAUUUGAAUUGGUAUGGAUUGUUCACUUUGCUAGAUCAAGACUUAUGUUCAAGUCUCGUUGCCUGCUAUUCCUCUUGAUAGGUGAUUUGUAAAAAAAAAAAAAAAAAAAAAAAAAAAAAAAAAAGAAAGGAUUAAGACCCCAUCUGUAAGUUCCAAAAAGAUUUGUAGUAUUCCCUGCCCUUGAGGUAAAGUAGCCUCACCUCCACUAAACUUUCUUAAAAAAAAAAAAAAAGCCGUCGAAGUGUACAAGCAUUAAGAUACGCGUGGUGCUUUUGUUAACUAUAUUGGAAUAUAUAUGUGUAUAAAUAUCUAAUGUCAACAAUUGAAUAAAAAAUAAAAUAAUUAAGCAAUUAAAUAUGACUAGCAAAGCUUAAUUAGUUAGGUUAAUAUAAUAUUGGCUCAUGGACUUGAACUCAUCAAAUGUCUGUACUAUCUGCCUGGAGUCCUAGAUAUAGAACCAAGUCAGACUUUCUGUUUUCCUUUCGCAAUAUAUAGAGUCUUAAAUUCAAAAAUAAUAGAUUCUUAAGUUAAUUAAAAAUAGUCUUACGUUAAUUAAAUAAGAGAAAAGUUGACAUUUUGGCUGCAACCUUAGAUAAAUAAACUAUUUCCCCUAACUAAAUAAACUGAAAAUGCCUCACAUAUCGAACGCCAAUUGUGUUAUCAUUGAAUAAGAAUUUGAACAAUUUUUAUCUUAUAAUCAUUUUGAUUUUUGAGUUUUAUGCUUGUCUACUAAAAUAUGAAUGUUACAAUCAUGGACAAUUAGCUGAAACUAUCAUUUUUUUUACAUUAAUUUGGUUGGUUGCAGAAAUGAUCACUUUUUACAAACGACGACACAUUUAGAUCAUAUAUCGACAACAAUAAGAUGAGACAACGACAACAAUAAGAUGAGACAACGACAACCCAACGACAAUGUAGUGAUGACAUAGUAAAAAAUGAUCAUUUGUGCAACUAAAUGUUAAAAACUGAUAAUUAAUUAUAGCUAAUUGCCCUACAAUCAUGUCCUUGUGCUUGCUAAUGCACUAAAUGUUAAAAACUGAUAAUUAAUUAUAGCUAAUUGCCCUACAAUCAUGUCCUUGUUCUUGCUAAUGCAUAUGGUAUCGUAAAAUUAUUGGUUUUCCUUAAGAUUUGUAAUACAAUACCUGAAAAUUCGAAAUCAACUCGAGAUGGUCCUAGUUGAUCCGAUUCUCCUCUAUUUCUAAGUUUUCCGAUUCCUUGCUUUAUAUAUAUAUAUAUAUAUAUAUAUAUAUAUGUGUAACCAUACAACUUUUACACAUUCUUAAAAAAAAAUUAAAAAAUUAAAAAAAAAAGCAUUAAACAAUUUGUGCUUUUCAUCAUUGGAUGUCACAUAUGAGUGUGUAGUUUCGCAGACCAAAAAAAUAGAAAGUUUGUAAUUGUACGUAUCAAAGAUGAUUGUUAAUUAUGCUUGUUUUCUACUGCUACAACUAGGGCUGUUUUUCCAAAAGGAUUGGCUCGGAAACCACGUUUUUAAUUUUUUAUUCGAAACUUCAAAAUUGAAAAUUGAACACAAUCUUCAAUUUCAGAAUUUUCAUAAAUUUUUUAAUUGGAGUUUUCUUGGAAAUUUUAUAACAUAAUUUGAAUACAGUUUGCAAGUUUUUGAAUACUCUCAAUUUUUUUUGUACAUGUAAUUUAUUGUUUAUUUUUUCUAAAUAUUUGGUAUAUAUUUAGUAUAGAUUCAAAUAAUUUGUGGUACACUAGUAUUUGUUUUGCUCAAAUUGUGGAACACUAAUAUGGCUAUCCAUGUUAAAUAUAUAAUUGUAUAUAAGUAUGUUUAUGUUCGAUUGUCACUAAAUGUGAAUUUGAACUAUAUUAUUGCUAGCUCAUUGUGAGACUAAACCCCACGUUGUGUGCCUUAGUAUAUUUAAUAUUGUUUGUUAAAACUCCUCGCUCUACCCCUUAGUAUAAAUAAUAUUGUUUGUCAAAAAAAUAGUAUGUUUUAUAUAAAAACAAUGAACAAAAUAGAGGGAACUUUAACGAAAAGCUCAUGGUACUGUUUAAUUUAACGAAAAACCAUAUUUUUACACUAAAAAGUUAACCAUGAUACUAUUCACUUUACCCUUUAUUCUGUCCUUAUCGUUAAAACUCAAAGUUUUCAAACUCUUUUAAUUAGUUUUCCUCAAAAUAUAUUCGAAACUAGCAAUAAAAUAUAAAAGUUAGUAACAAAUUACACAAUUUGAGUAAUAACAAAACACAUUCAACCAUCGUGUAAAUAAUAACUAGCUGUCCAAAAUAGACGAAUAAUUAAAACCUGCAUGUGACAUGCAUGCAUCAUUAAAUAACAACAACCCUCUCAUUAAUUUUGCAACCGGAAUUUUUGUAGGUAACGAUAUAAACCAGAAUUUUCUCUUACCAAAUUAUUAUUAUUAUUAUUUUUGGUAAAGCAAAUAGGAGGACAAAAAUUUGUUGAAAAAGAAAACCAACAACUACAAACGGAGACGUAAAGUUUCUCCGCCACAAGCGUCUUACUAGAAGAUGAGCAACCAAUUUUUAAGUGUAUUUGAAAUGUAAGCGCAUACGACAUAUAUCAUUAUACAAUGUUAAUUUGCAACCGAUUUAAACCUUGAAAUGUUUCAAUGUUAAUUUUAUGAACUCCAAAUAAUCAUGAGAGCACCAAUCACUAUUUUCAUCCGCCUCUGUGCUCCGUGUUCUAGAAACCUUAAACAAUUUCUCGAAUACGUGCUUAAUGUAUCAUCCAAGAGACGAGUAAAGUUAAGCGAACAAAUCCCUCAACUUUUCCGUCAAAACUUUUAAUCCGAUGUGUCAUCAUAACGUCAAUCUUAAUCAACAAUUAAUUACCCUAAACUUACUUCCUCAAGCCCAAGUGGUACAACAAAACACGGCAUUUGAAAGGGGAUUUCCACUAAUAACCACUUAAACCAUGUAAUCAUGCACUACAAGCUUCCAACAAAACAAAUAUUCCAAAAACUAAAUUCUUUUUUUAUUUUUUAUUUUAUAUAUAUUAUGUGGAAAGUGGCAGACAGAGCAUGUCGAUUGGAUCUCAACGUCAAACUGGAUGUUGAACCUAUCCCUCCUGACGUCAUUAAUUUUAUUAUUCACUUAAUUAUUUAAUAAAUAUAUCAAAUAUUUAAUUAAUAAAUCAUUUUUAAUUCCUCAGGAAGGGUCACACGAGGAUCAGCCGCUAUUUAAGCGUAAACUCCAAACCGUAACCACCACACAGAGCAAAGCAAGCAAAGACUACCGCUCUCUCUAUACGAUCUGACACGGGAUAAACGAAGCUAUCUAGAGAGAGAGAGAGAGAGAGAGAGUGAGAGAGAGGGGAGAAUCGAAGCCUAACCGCCUCAGAUAUUCUGUUACUGUUAUUUUUCCGGCAAAGAUGAUAGCUUACCUGGAAUGCUUCGUCUCCGAAUCGAGGCACGACGACGGCGUUUCGAGCCUCUCCAAGGCGCUGGGCCUCCAGGGCACCGUCGCCGACUUUGGCGGCGAAGCCGGCAGAGACUUCGGGGGAAUGAAGUCGUUCCCGCCGCUGGCUUUCAUCAGGCCGGCCGGCGCCGACGACGUGGCGAGGGUGGUGAAGGAGGCGGCGAGGUCCUCGAAUCUGACGGUGGCGGCGCGGGGGAACGGCCACUCGAUCAACGGCCAGGCGAUGGCGGAUCGAGGCCUCGUCCUGGACAUGCGUUCGUUGGGGGAGCAUCUCCGGGUUGUGAGGGCCAGCGACGGUUCCGUCUACGCUGACGUGUCGGGAGGGGCAUUAUGGGAAGACGUGCUGAAACGGUGCGUUUCCGAGCACGGGAUGGCGCCGCGAUCGUGGACUGAUUACUUGAGCUUGACGGUGGGCGGGACGUUAUCCAACGCGGGCGUCAGCGGUCAGGCUUUCCGUUACGGUCCACAAACGUCGAACGUUACGGAGUUAGAAGUCGUUACGGGGAAGGGAGAAAUUUUUAACUGCUCCGAAAAGGAAAACUCGGAGCUGUUUUUCGGCGCACUUGGCGGACUCGGUCAGUUCGGUAUCAUCACCAAAGCUAAGGUUCUUCUGCAACCCGCCCCAGACAUGGUCGGUAUAUUUUUUAAUUUGUUUCCCAAAUUAAUUAUAAAAAAAUGGCUGCAUUAAAAUUUACGGAGCGUAAUUAAGCUUAAUUAAUUAUGUGAUUAGGUAAGAUGGAUAAGGCUGGUGUACACCGAGUUUGACGACUUCACUCGGGACGCCGAGUUGCUGGUGACUAGGCAGGACGACGGCGGCGACUCGUUCGACUACGUGGAAGGCUUCGCAUUCGUCAACAGCGACAACCCGGCGGACGGGCGUCCCUCGGUGCCGCUGGAUCCGCAGGAGACAUUCGACCCGGCCCACCUCCCCCGAACCUCCGGGCCAAUCCUCUACUGCCUCGAACUCGCUCAUCACUACCGCAACACCGACCGCCCCUCAUCCGUCGAUACGGUAACUAUAACCAACAAUUAUCUCCUGCUUCUUGCUGUAGAAUAACAACUUUGCACCCCCAAUUUCUGGCAGUUUUGAUCAGAUAGCGCUUAAUCGUAGUUUGCGUCUUUUACCAAAAAAAAAAAUGCAGUUUGCGUCAUGGGCGUGGUUUUGGGGGUCCCAUGAAAGUACAGUUUUAUCUGUGGGGUCCAUGCGGUGAUGACUGAGUUUUGACCUAGGUGGUUCCUAAGUGGGCCCGCUGCCGCGAGGAUUUUGACCUGGUGGAAAUGAUACAUUACUCGUGAUUAAAUAAAUAAUAAAAUAUGUAUAUUAAAAAAUUAAUAACUUACAAAAUAACAUUAUUCAUCAUUUUUCUCGUUAAAUGGGAAGUCAUGCUCAAAACCGUCCCGCCGGGGCAGUGAAAAAGUCAAAACAGCCCCCCUUCUAGUGUACUCAGUCUCACACGUGUACAAAGCUUGUCGAUGGAAGUACGGCUUUAUUCCCGUUCGCCAUCAUCACUCUGUUUCUUUUUCCUACCUUCUGUUAGAAACUUAUAAUAAAAAAUAAGAAAGAUUUGAACCCGAAACGCAAUAUAUUGAUGUUGAAAUUUGAAAAUCCGUUCAUCGGGAGAUCCUCGGCAUCAUAUUUUUCUUCUAAUUUCUAAAUUUGAAAAAAAUAAAAUAAUAUUUAUUCAUUUUUUCUCGGAAGUGUUUUCGUUCGUCGUUUGGUUCAACUUGAGACUGACAAUACGACAGUAGUGUAUCUUACUAUCUUCCCUUGGAUUUUCUGACAUGAUGCUGAUCACAAAAGCCCUUGAUGUUGCUCUUAAUUACCAAAUGACACUCAUUCGGGGGUAAUAUGGUAAUUAAAAUGCACCAGUAGGCGUCGAUGAUUGAGAUUUUGCUCACGGCAUGGUCCCCGCUGUUCCGCAAAUGGCCAAAAAGCCGUCGUUUUCUGAAAUCUGUAGAUAAUGAAUGUAUGUCCUUUGUGUGGUGCGCAAUGACGCAAUUGCCCUCGCUGUUUGACGUUACUUGCUGAAUUUUUUUUUUUUUUUUGGCAGGGCGUGAACAGAUUGCUUGGAGGCCUCGGAUUCGUUGAGGAGUUGAAGUUCCAAGUGGACCUCAGCUACGUCGAGUUUUUAUUGCGUGUGAAGCGCGCAGAGGAACACGCCAAGGCCAAUGGAAUUUGGGACGCUCCUCACCCUUGGUUGAACAUGUUCGUGUCGAAAUCAGAUAUCGCUGAUUUCGAUCGAACGGUGUUCAAGAAGAUCCUCAAGGAUGGGAUCGGAGGGCCCAUGCUUGUCUACCCUCUCCGGCGAAGCAAGUAAGUUUUUCCCUUCCCUCGUGACCUCUCUAUAUUUAUGAUCAUUGCAAUUUUUAGCGGAAAAAAUAUUCGGUAGGACAACCAAAUCAAGCUAAUUAGGUCAAUUUCAUAAUGGGUUAUGUCGUGUGCCUGUUGUGUUACACCUGUUUAAGCUUGGACGUAUCCAUUUACGAAAGGGAUUGUUCUUUUGUUGGAGUGUUCGAACAUUCAAGCGAUGAGAUUGUCCUACCAAAAUUUUUUCUUUAUUAUUUUGAUAUGACGGCGUUUCUUUGUUGACCUUCAACUCUACACGUGUCAAUCAGUAAGUCUUGGGUACCACCUUCCCUUAUCACUUUAAAUCUUAAUUUGAAACUUACACACAUGCUUUUUCGAGCUGUGUUAACAUCAGAUGGUCAUACAUUCUCUUACUUUUCUUACCUCGAUGAUCACAUUAACUUUGGUAUAAACCAAUCAAAAGUAUGUGAUAUUCGCACCUUUCUACUUUGCUAGAUUUAUGCUUUAUUUGCAUGCUAUGUAAUGUUGACAUUUUAUCCUCAUUUUGUGCUUGUAAAAGAUGGUACAGAUUAUGGACAUCAUUUUCCGAAUUAGAUACGCUGACUAAGGGUGAAAACAUUUUAAAUCGGAUGGUGGUUAAAUUAGGUCAAAUAUUUUCUACUUGUAAGGUCAUCAAGUGGGACCCCAUCGGAGGAUUGAUGACUGUUGUACCAUUUGAACUCUGCACCGGACCCGUAGGAAAUCCGGACCCUCAUGUGUUCGAAGUUACCAUAUACGCCAUGUGGAGGGCUGGGUAGCGUAUAAGCAAACGUAGGAAUGACCAGGCCUGGCCGGACAAAGAUACAGUGGACCCCACCCAAAGUAGGAUGAAAAAGGGUAGUUCAGUAAAUUUAAGCUGGCGCUACCGUAUUUUUAGCCAGACAGGAAGUGCUGGAAGGGCCUGCCAAUGGCAUGUUGGUCAUAUACGCGCAGAGUUUUUUUUUUACACUUUUAUGGAAAAUUAUAUUUUAUAUUCCAGAAAUCUUUUGCCAUUUCAGAAACGACAAAGAAUUUGGUAUUUCUCCGAAUGGAAUUAUAUUUGAUCCUCCAUUUUUUUAAAUUUACAAUAAUACCCUCUGGUUUGGUAGAAUUAUGCAACUAGAUUUGAUUAAUUAUUAAUUAACACUUAAUUACGUGUGAACAGGUGGGAUACUCGUACAUCUGUGGUGCUACCGGAAAGCGAAAUCUUCUACAUAGUGGCAUUGCUACGCUUCACUCCACCAUACCCAAAAGGCCCCUCCGCCGAGAAUCUGGUGGCCCAAAACCAAGAAAUAAUACAAUACUGCACCAGAAAAGGGUUCGAUUUCAAGCUUUAUCUGCCUCACUAUCGAUCCCAGGAGGAUUGGAAGCGACAUUUCGGAAGUGAUCAAUGGUCGAGAUUCGUGGAGCGGAAGAAGUGCUUCGAUCCAAUGGCCAUCCUUGCUCCUGGACAGAAAAUCUUCUCGAGGGUUCCUCAACCCUAGCUUUAGUUGAAUAAAUAGUCAUUGUCGAUGGUUCAGUCCAAUGUAAUUUUGUUGUCAUCUAUUUUUCUUUUUUUCUUAUUGGCGUAAUUAGUUUCUACUGGUGGGUCAGUACCCUUGUUGUCAAUCGACAAUCGACAAAGAAUCUGUUGGAGCAAUUUAAUGUAAAGAAAUAGUUUUGAGCAAAAAAAUUUGGUCAUCUUUCAAUUUGUUUCUUUGUAGAUGAAAAUAUUGCCAAAAGAAAUGGAUGGAAGUAUUAUCAACUAUUCAAUGAUUUGACCAUCAUGCUCGUAUAUUGAAAAGUGGCCAGGAUCAUCACUUUUGGUUCAUUCAAUUAUCCAUGACACUGAUGUUGUAUUUAUGUUUAUCGUGCCACGGUAAGGAGAGAGUCUGUCCAAUAACAAAAAAUACAUCUUUAUUAUAUAUACGAUUUCAUUGUGGUUAACUCAAUUAUUCAUGACGUUGACGCUUUUGGUAUGUGUUUAUCAUGAAUGUUGUGAUAAUGUGAGAUUCUGCCUUAAAACCAAAAUAAUUGGAUGAAAAAUACUGCCAAAAGAAAUGGAUGGAAGUAUUAUUAACUAGUCAAUGAUAUGACCAUCAUGCUCCUAUAUUGAAGUGUGGACAAGGUCAUCACUUUGGUUCACUCAAUUAUCCAUGUCACUGCCAAAACAGUUAUCUAAACCACUUUCCUUCUGCCCAGCUCCCCGAAAACAACGUUUGACUUGCAUGUGUUAAGCAUAUCGCUAGCGUUCCUUCUGAGCCAAGAUCAAACUCUUCUUUUGGGUAUGAUUGGGCCUCGCAAUGGUAGAACCUGGUGAACCGGGCGUACUACUUCCCAACCUUCUAUGGACCUUGCUUCUCUUAUGAUUUGUUCUACUCUACUUUUUUAAUAAUGUCGUACUUGUGUUUAUUGUGCCACGAUAGGGAGAGCAUCUAUCUAAUAAUCAAAUACACAUCUUUAUUGUGAACGGUUAUGUACGAUAUUAUUGUGGUUAACUCAAUUAUUCAUGACAUUGACGCUUUUUGUAAAAUAUCAUGAUAAUGUGAGAUUUUACCUUAAAACCAGUUAUAUAUAUUUGAUUGUGUUUAUCUCUCUAAUCACAUAAACAAAAUCAAGGAUAACUAAGAGUCUCUCCGUGAUAAGUCCAUCUCCUUUUCUUCUUUUGCUUUAGAUUUGCCUUUGCUCCCUUUUGAAGUUUAAAACCUUAAACCCUAAUGCACAGGCUGAAUUAAAUUAAUUAUAUUGAACCAUUCAAUUUAAUCCAAUUUAAUUAUGUCCUAUAUAGGAUAAUCUAAACUGGUCCUUGAUGUUCAGCUGGAGAUGAUUUGACUUCAACUUGUCCAAAGUGCCACUUCUCUUUCGUUUCAACAAAAAAGAGAUGAAAAAAAAAAGGGAAGUGUUGCUAAUUAGGCGUGUAGUUAGGGCAUCAGAUUCUCUUUUCAUGCAUUAUAAAAGCUUCCACUUUUUCUCCCAAUCGAUUUGGUUCUUACUUACCAAACCUCGAGCUUCGCUUUGGUUUGUUUGGUUUCUAGGAAAAUCAAAUCUAUCUUGGUUUUCUCUUUUUAUUCCCUACUUUUCCUUCUUCUCCCUUUAUUUUUUCUUUUUCCUUUUUAUCUUGUUUUUUCCAUGAAAAGUAGAGAAAAGUUGGGGCGCGGGUGGCCCCGUAUCUGGCUUUAGAAGGCAAUUAUAAGAUCAUGAUUUCUUGUAAGCUACAAUCGAAUAUGUGAUUAGAGGAAGAACAGCCUCGGUCAAUUAAAUUGCCAUGCAAAAAGCAUCGUAUACGUCCUUUGUAAACGUGCCAUGCAAAUGAAAUCACGUGUUUUACUUUUACUAUUUACCUCCGGCGAACCUGAAAGUACUCUGCGUUUUGCAUAGCAAAGCUCAAACCAUGCAUUAAAAUCAAUAAAUUAUUGUGGUAACAUGUUACGUUGGAAGGUUUGAAGUGUGAACCAUGCAAAAGGCUGCAAAUAUUGGAAAAUUAAAGCAUGGAAAGGUAACAUGUUACGUUGGAAUCUGAACCAUGCACGGAUCGAUGAGCUAAAUAUUUGGCUGUUUACUUUUAUUUUGUUACGAUGGAAGGGAAUCUAACCAUUCCAAGUGCUAAUCUUUGUUUUGUAUGUUAGAUUGUGAGUAUUGUUGAAGUAAAAAAAAUAAUAAUUAGAAAAAAAGUUUUGUCUGAUGAAAUGAAGUUGUCUCCCAAAAUUCAACGCUAGUACAUGAUUCAUCGCUUAAAAUUAUGUGCGACGAAACGUUUAUAAAUAAACAAACAAAAAAUACUUGAAAACCAAAUAUGAUAGGAUAAAAUUUUGUCGCGGAAAGAAUUUUGUAACAAAGAGAUGUCUUCCCCUAAACCUUAACGCGAUGGAACAUUGUCGUCUCCUUAAAGUUCUCGCGACGAAAGAGCUUCAUCCCUUAAAAUCUUAACACGAUGAAUACCUUUGUCACAAACUUUAGCAUGACAAAAUUCCUCUUUGCGCGACGAAUGAAAUUUCCUCAAAAAAAAAAACACUUUUAUGUAGUAGUGUCAUAUAAUGGAUAGUUUUAUAUAUUGAUACUUUUUGUAUAAGAUAUGAUCACAAUUAUUAAUUUACCACCUGUUAAUUUGAGAUAAUAAGGCACUACCAUCCUUAAAACUUUAACAAGUGUCUAACUUAAAAUGAUUGAAAAAUAAGUGAAGAAGAUACUUAAGAUGGAAAAAGAACUAAAUACAAGUCUUCCAUCCUCAAUACGGAGCCUCUCAACAAGCCUCCAUACAUGUGAAGGAUCUCUUCAGUCUGUCACAUGUGUGAUUUAAUUUUUAUACUAUCAGCCUUCAUGCAUGUUAAAAUUAAACGUUCAAUCAAAAAUCAAUCGACAACACAUAAAGAUUUCGAAAAUCUUAGAAUUUCGAUAUAGAUGCAUGUCAAAAUUGAAUGUUCAACUGAGAAUCAGUUGGCAACACGUAAAGAUUUUGAAAAUCUUACGAUUUUGAUAUAGAUCAUCACUAUUUUUUUUAUUUUUUAUUUUUAAAUACAACGAUAUAUUAAGGGGAGAUGGAGUUCGGAAGCCACACACAAUGGACAGCCUAAUUUGGUAUCGAAUUCACCAUUCACGAUUCGAACAUAAGAUCUCUCACUUACAAAUGAUGAAAAAUACCACAAAACCGUAGUAUUAAGUGGCUAGAUCAUCACUAGUUACGUUAACCCUGAAAGCCUAAUGUUUGGUCUUUGAUAUUACGGCGGCUCCUUGCAUGGAUUUGUACGCCUCUUCCCAAAGUUAAAGUCCAAAAGGAAAAAUCAUUGACAAUUGAACCAAGAUAGUAGAUAACCUUUAAGCACGUGAAAUUAUCGCAUGUAUUUGACAUCCUAAUUUCUAUUAGCCACAAUGAAUUCUUCCAUCUUGUAGCCAAUUUAAGUAUUGGAUCAAGCCCACCAUCAAAUAUUUGGGCUUUUUAUGUGAGGCCUGUUUUGUAAUUUUAACCUAGUGAGGGCUUGGGUUUUUGGAGGAUUCAAAUUAUAUUUGAAAAUUUGAGCCGUUAGUGGGCAGUCCAAUGUUGUCCACCAUUUUUAUGUUAAAGAUUUGGGUCAAGAUUUUAUGGACUUUUGUGGAUUUUUCAACAUCUUUUUGUCACCAUUGAUUGUGUCCAUUGGGGCCUACAUGUUCCCCCUAUUUGCAAUUUGACCACUCUGUCUAAAGUCCAAGGUUUCCCAUAUGGGUAAAAUGCCUAAUCAUUCUUAAUUAUCAAAGUUGAAAUUAAUCUAACUUUGUUUCCUCAAAGUUAAAGGAUAAAAACUUGAGUACAGCAGACUGGGCAGUCGUGUCACGUUGUUGUCGAAUUACUCUCACAAAAAUCCGAUUUUUUUAUUUUGAUGGUUUGUGGGAUGUGGGCGGUGAAGCAUCAACACGUACACAAAAUGGGUGUAGCGGAGAUGAGGAUGCUUUGUGGGAUGUGGGCACACGAGAAAGGAUAAGAUAGGGAAUGAGGAUAUCCGAGGUAAAGUAGGAGUAGCCGAAAUUGUAGGAAAGAUGAGAGAAAAUCGGCUCCGGUGAUUUGGACAUGUGCAAAGAAGGCCGACUGACGCUCCGGUUCGAAGAUGUGACUACGGGACAGAGGUUCAGGGCCGAAGGGGUAGAGGAAGACCUAGGAAAACUUUGGAAGAGACUCUAAGAAAAGACUUAGAGUACUUAGAUCUAACGGAGGACAUGACACAAAACCGAGCGCAAUGGCGUUCUAGGAUUCAUAUAGCCGACCCCACUUAGUGGGAAAAGGCUUUGUUGUUGUUGUUGUUGUUGUUGUUGUUGUUGUUGUAUGGUUUUUUCUAACUUUAUUGAUUUUCAUCAAGUUUGUCUGAGUAAUUAUACUGCAACAGUUAUACGAAUAUUUGUACCAAAAUUGUUUUGAGAUUAUUGUUUUCUAAGCAAAUAGAGAGCGGUAAUUGAAUUUAAGAUACUAGAAGCGAAAUAUCGCUAAAAACUAGUUGUUGUAGUGAAUUGAGUUGGAGAUGAGAAGUGUAGAUGGAAAACUGUAAAAUUUAGCAUAUAAUUUUUAUUUUUCUCAUUUUCCAUUUUAGGAUAUAAUAAAGACAUUGUGUUGACAUAUUCUUCUUUUUAGUUAGACAUUCAUAAUCAUGCUCAUUAAAUGCGACCAGAUUAUUUUGACCCAACCAAUAUGCUUUCUAUGUUAUGACCAAAAAGAAAAAACAAAGAACAAAUAUGCUUUCCAUGAUUUUUCUUUUAGGUGGGAAAAUCAUGACAUAAUAUAUAGAUUUCCAAAAAUAAAUUAUUAUUAUUUUUUCUCAGAGAAGAACGAACAAUUCUAUCAAUAACCAUAAUACAACUUGAAAUCGAAAAAUUUGCCCGACGAUUAACUAUAAAAAAGAAUGUUCGAAAUUUAAUCCCCAAAACUAAAUUGUUCAUAUCAAUUACCUAUGAGAAUCGAGUUUGACCGGUUAAAUUGUAAUCUUAGGUUGGAAAUAGAGUUUGACGGGUUAAAUUGCAAUCCUUAGGUUGGAUAUUAGUGAGGAGACUGGUCAUCAUUUUCUAAAGGCUAAAACUAAUGCGAUUAGUCAUAUUAAUUAUAAUUUUGGUUAAAGUUUUUUAGUAUUUUUAUAAUUAGAGUUAUAUGCGAUAGAGUUUGACAGGUUAAAUUGCAAUCCUUAGAUUGGAUAUUAGUGAGUCUUUUAGAAAUGCAAGGAGCAUGGUGGGAAUAAAAUAUAUAUAAAAUCAAGAAAUUGACCAUAUAAAAUAGAAACACAAAAUUAAGAAAACAACCAAUGGCAAAAAGGGAAGGAGAAAAAUAAAAUAAGAAAGAAAAAAAUAUGAAGAAAAAUCAAAACGGCGCCGGACCGUUUGUAAUAUAAAUAUUUUUGUUAAUCAUUUAUUCUUUUAAGGAAAGACACUCUUAUUGCAAGACUUGCUGUUUCAUUUUCAAGUAGAAAAACAAACACACAGAGAGAUUAUUUUCAAAAGCGCUUUCGAGGGUACAAAAAAGCACCUCACCACAAAUAAGCACUUUCAGGAGGAUCCCCAAUCUGAUCUGCUGAAUUCUCUGUCUUCCUCUCAAGUUCCCAAUUCCAUUCUGUAUAUUCAUGUAGAUAUCGAUCAAUUCGUAUCGAAUAACAAAAAAUUUUGAAAAAAAAAUUCGAAUCGGUGGUCCUCACAUUUCUAGGGUUUCGCGAGCCGUUUCUGUCAUUUCUGCGCCAAUUAGGGUUUUAAUUUCGGAGGAGGAGCCGGAAGGGGGAUGAAGAUGCGUCGGAUCGCGGCCUAGGUUUGCGGAGGUCCCGAGAGGUUUGCUCUUUCGAGUGCAUGAAGAUUUGGUGCUGCCUAUGCUUCACCCAAGGAGACGAACCAGAAGAGGACGAUAGCGAGGCGGAGGCGAUCAUGAAGGAGGGGGAUUUUGGAAAUGACGGCAAUUCGGAGGGCGCCAUCGGAAAUGGCGACGAAAUUGACGGCAAUGCUCAGAGUUUGGGGCUGGUGGGGAAUGAGCGCGGCCGUAAUGACCAUCUGGUAUUGUUCGAAGGGAUGGUUGAGGCAAUGCGUGGUGGUGGCGCUCAGUGGGAUGAGUCUGUUUGUGUUGGUGCUCUUGCGUCGUUGAGGGCCUCGAUUGGGAACCCUUGGAUUUCCGAGGGCGAGAGUAGCUCGGCUGCAGAUAAUGGCAGUGAUCACGAUUCGCACCAUAAGCGAGCCAAAGUUCAAUCCUUUAAUCAGUGAGUUUCUCACUGUAGCUCCUUAGUUUUGAUCGAUUGGUAGAUUUUAGAUAAUUUGCCAUUGGUUACCAAAAUUUUCACCUUAGUAGUUAGUUGGGGCUGAAAUAUUUAACUUUUUUGUUUCAUUACGAAUAGUUUAGGGGUUUAUAUGUUUUAGAUUAUUUGGUUUCAGUAUAAUUUUAUUUUCUGCUGGGAAUAGAUAACAUUACCCUAAUGAGUAUAUGCUAUAUCUAUUAUUUGGUUCCAUUAUAAUAUUUUUCAGCUGGGAAUAACGAUACUCAUGAUUGUCUGCGACAUUAUUUCUUGCAGUAAUUUCCACCAUGCAAUGGCUAUGGCUUCAGGUGCUGGAAAUUCCAGUUCAUCUGCAGAAAGAGACUACAGAAUAAAUGAGAGCUCUUUCAUUCCAUAUAAGAGCGAGACAUUUUUUCAAAAUACUACUCCUAUUGGCUGUGAGGAGGGCCCCUUUGAUUCUGGCAGUGGUAAGGAUGAUGACGGUGAUCAUAGUGGCACCUCAAAAACAGAAGAUUUAGAAGUUCGGAUGGAUCUUACAGAUGACCUAUUACAUAUGGUAAGCAUUGCCUUGCGUAUAUUGCAUAUAAUGAAGGGCUAUUAUCAGUUUUGGUCCUAAAUUUGUUUAUUAUAAAUGUCAUUUUCUCCUGAUUCUCAGGUUUUCUCUUUCUUGGACCACAUUAAUCUUUGCCGAGCUGCAAUAGUCUGUAGGCAGUGGCGAUCUGCUAGUGCUCAUGAAGAUUUCUGGAGGUGUCUGAAUUUUGAGAAUCGAAGUAUAUCUGUGGAGCAAUGUGAGUUCUACUUUAUUUUUGUGGUAUACUGGUAGUAAGUAUAAAAAUUGAAGAUUUCUUUGUGCUAACUGCCCAAGUAAGUAGAGAAUUUGUACCAGUGGUCACUUAUGUGUUUUUCUUUUUCAUAUUUUGGUAGGUUUUCUGUAUGUAAUUUUUACUGCUUGUGUUCGGACAUGGCUAAUGAUAUGGAUAAUGCAUUUGGGAAGUAUUCAUUUAUUAGAUUAAAAGUUGGUUGGUUAUUAUUACUCAGAGUUUGUGAGGCAUGGAUAAUGUGUUUGUUGAGUUCAUAAUAUUUUAGUUUCCAUUUGUAAAUUUUAGUGAAAGUGUAAAUUUUAAUAAAAGUCUAAAUUUAUUCUUUGACUAAAAAUACUAUAUGGGGUCAAUUUGAUAUUAUAUAACUGAAUCAGAAAAGUUAAAAUAAAAAAUUAUUUUUUUAACAUGUCAAAUUGUAUGCUUAUCACUCAUUUUAUAUGGAAUUACAGUUGAGGACAUAUGUUGGCGGUAUCCCAAUGCCACAGAAUUGAAUAUUUCUGGUACCCCUGCUAUUCACUCGCUUGUUAUGAAAGCUCUCUCUUCAUUGAGGUAAAUUGCUUUUCUAAAUAUUUAUGCUAUUGUAUUUAUUCUUUGAUAUAGUUUUCAGUUCAAGUAACUUACAUUUUUGUUUUUUUUUUCUCAGGAAUCUCGAGGUUUUAACCCUAGGGAAAGGGCAACUAGGGGACAUCUUUUUCCAUUCCUUGGCAGACUUUCAAAUGUUGAAAAGUUUGAUCAUCAAUGAUGCUACUCUUGGUAAUGGUAUCCAGGAGAUACCUAUAAACCAUGAUAGACUGCGUCAGCUUCAAUUAACAAAAUGUCGUGUUAUGCGGAUAUCCAUCAGGUGUUUUUUUUUUUUUUUUUUAAUUAAAAUUGAAUUGUCACAUGCUGUCUACUUGGCUACAUUUUUGUGCUAAAUCUGAUUUUUUGCAGGUGUCCUCAACUUGAAACUCUGUCAUUGAAACGCAGUAACAUGGCGCAGGCUGUUCUUAAUAGCCCUCUUUUGCAUGAUCUUGAUAUAGGCUCUUGCCACAAGCUUUCAGAUGCUGCAAUUCGUUCAGCGGCAAUCUCAUGUCCUCAAUUAGAGUCAUUGGAUAUGUCAAAUUGUUCAUGUGUUACUGAUGAAACUCUACGUGAGAUUGCUCUUGCUUGUGCUAAUCUCCAUGUUCUCAAUGCGUCGUACUGUCCAAAUAUAUCUCUUGAGGUUAGUUUGUAGUGGUUUUCGCCAUCCUUUUUUUAGUACCAAUAUUUGUUUAUUUUAUUUGACAUGCUUCUGUGCCUUGUUUUUGUUUUGAAGUCUGUAAGACUGCCAAUGUUGACAGUUCUUAAGCUUCACAGUUGUGAGGGCAUCACCUCGGCUUCAAUGGUUGCAAUAUCUCAUAGUUACAUGCUUGAGGUAUGAAUCUGGUCUCAAAUAUCAGUAUUGUUUGUCUGUCUCAUUGAAUGCCUUUAAACAUAUUAAUCUGAUUAUUACUCAUUGUAGGUUUUGGAGCUUGACAAUUGCAGUCUACUUACCGCUGUGAACUUGGACCUUCCACACUUGCAGAAUAUUAGACUAGUACAUUGUCGCAAGUAAGCUCAUGUUCUUCCAGUACCCAACACACCCCCCCCGGUGGAGAGCUUCCCAAUUGGAGAGGAGAAUUUCUCUUAUUUGUUUAUAAAAUUUUCACCUUGCAUGUUUCUUCUGCAGAUUUGCUGAUUUGAAUCUACGAUGCAUCAUGCUGUCAUCAAUAAUGGUCUCUAACUGUCCUGUGCUCCAUCGUAUCAACAUCACUUCAAAUUCACUUCAGGUAAGUCUUUUGAAGAACCAUUUAUAUUCUUUUAGUGUUGAUUUUAUUAGACACAUGAAAUCUGAACAAGUGGUCUUUGGAAUUUGCAGAAACUAGCAUUGCAAAAGCAAGAGAGCUUAACCACGCUGGCACUGCAAUGCCAAAGUUUGCAAGAAGUGGACCUUACAGAUUGUGAAUCUUUAACAAAUUCUAUAUGUGAUGUUUUCAGCGAUGGUGGUGGGUGUCCUUUGCUCAAAACGUUAGUUCUUGAAAACUGUGAGGUUUGUCAAUUUAUCUCUUCUCAUUACCUGAGUUAAUACUGUUUGAGAUUUGAUUACGCUAGCUUAUGGGAUGGGAUAAAUUUUGCCGUUUGGAAUUAUUUAUGUAUUCUUAUGUGACUCUGUAAAUUGAUGCAAUAAACUUGUGAGUUUAAACCAUGUUGUCAACAAAUGCAUGACCUGUUGGUCAUUCCCCUGAAUCAUAUUGGGGGUUGUGAAAAACUCUUUGAUUAUUAUUUGUUCCCUGAUACUUGGACUGUUAUUCAGGGAGGGUUGAACUCAUUCUUAAUUACUUGUUUGGUCAAUUGAGAUAUCUGCUGGCUGAUCUUAUGUAUACUUCCUUUGGCUGACAUAAUCUCUUACUUCACCCAGAGCUUAACCACGGUUCGAUUCUGUAGCACUUCUUUAGUCAGCCUCUCACUUGUUGGUUGCCGGGCAAUUACAUCUCUCGAACUGACUUGCCCCUAUCUUGAACAAGUUUCUUUAGAUGGUUGUGAUCAUCUUGAAAGAGCAGCAUUUUGUCCAGUAAGUGAGAAUGAUUGUAAAGUAAAAAGAUUUUAUGAUAAUUUAUGAGUUUUACAAUGUGAAUUAUGUUGCUCUUAUAUAAAGCCAUGAGAUGCGCAGACUCUUAUCACACUUUUUUCACUACAUGUCAAUUCUGACAUUAAGCAGUCAAUAGAAAACUGAAUCUUUUCAUUCCUUUCUUCAGGUUGGUCUUAGGUCACUAAAUUUGGGAAUAUGUCCCAAAUUGAAUGUGCUCAGUAUCGAAGCGCCAAAUAUGGUGCUGCUGGAGUUGAAGGGAUGUGGUGUGUUAGCUGAAGCAUCCAUCAAUUGUCCACUAUUAACAUCUCUAGACGCUUCCUUUUGCAGGUUAUUUUCAUUACUUUUUAGUACUUUACCUACCAGCCUGCUCUGAUCCCUACUGUUUCAGUCUCAAUUAAACUCAAAUCGCUCAUAAUUUGCACAUGCAGUCAGCUUAGGGACGAUUGCUUGUCUGCAACAGCUGCUUCAUGCCCAAUGAUAGAGUCUUUAAUUCUAAUGUCAUGCCCCUCUGUUGGUUCUGAUGGACUCUACUCAUUGCGCUGGCUUCCAAAUUUGAUUCUGCUUGAUUUGUCCUACACUUUCUUGACAAACUUGAAGCCAGUUUUCGAGUCUUGUAUGAAACUUAAGGUGAUUUUUACAGCUCAUACUUUGUUGAUUUGUUGUUAAAUUUAGCAUGGUGAUCCUCCUACCAUAGGAUAUUGAUAUUUCAUGUACUUUGAGCAGAAUGUGGAUGUUUCUUUAUUUGAACUAAAAUUAGAAGAAUCUUGGGCAGAUUUUUUGGAUCUUAUCUUUUCUUAUCUUUUCCCAGGUGUUGAAGUUACAAGCCUGCAAGUACUUAUCUGACUCAUCAUUGGAGCCUCUUUACAAGGAUGGGGCUCUUCCAGCUCUCCAAGAACUGGAUUUGUCUUAUGGAACCCUCUGUCAGUCUGCUAUCGAGGAGCUUCUUUCUUUUUGUAUGCACUUGACUCAUGUGAGCUUGAAUGGCUGUGUGAACAUGCAUGACCUGAAUUGGGGUAGCAGUGCCGGGCAACCUUCCCUAUCUGGCAUGUUUUUACCUGAGAAUGUCCAGGUGCCAAUUGAGCAGCCAAUCCGGUUACUGCAGAACCUCAACUGUGUAGGUUGUCCAAAUAUUAGGAAAGUUGUCAUUCCACCAGCAGCACGUUGUUUCCACAUGUCAUCUUUAAACCUUUCUCUUUCUGCAAAUUUAAAGGACGUUGAUGUUGCUUGUUUCAACCUCUGCUUUCUUAAUUUGAGGUAAUUCGUUUAUUUAGUUUGAACAUCUCUUUGUAUAUUUAGUUCUAGAUUUUCAUGAUGUUUUGUCUUGCCACUAACAUUUCUGUCUUUUUAUUCAGCAAUUGUACUUCUUUGGAAGUUUUGAAGCUUGACUGUCCGAAAUUGACUAUUCUCUUUCUUCAGGUACGCAUUCUGCCUCUUAUGUUGUUAUAUUUAUACGGAUUAUCACCUUAAAAAAAAUAUAUUUAACUCCAUGUAAAAUUCAUGUUUGACCAUACCAACAAAAUGUUGAAAGGCAUGGAACCUGGGAUUUAUUUAUUUUUUUAAGUGACAUGCAUUUAGACUUUUUUAAUAUAUUUUUUGCUUUCUAUAAAAUCAUUUUAAUUUAGUUUACUGCUGGUCCCUAAUUUCAUUUUCUUGCUGGGAUUUUGUAUUAGUCUUGCAACAUCGAUGAAACAGUGGUGGAAGCUGCCAUAUCGAAAUGUAGCAUGCUGGAGACUCUUGAUGUUCGUUUUUGUCCCAAGGUUAGUACAAUCUUCUACACUCCCCCGCUAUAUCGUUGUAAGAAAACCUGCCUCUUAUAAUACAAUCUAAUACUGUCUUUUAUGGUGAUUGACAGAUAAGCCCGACGAGCAUGGGGAGAUUACGUGCUGCAUGCCCUAAUUUGAAGCGCAUAUUCAGCAGCCUGCAACAGUCUUGAUUAUAGCAAGAAAUGCAUCUUUUCUUCCGCGGGGCUUAUUUGACUCGGCUUUUAGUCCAGCAAGCAGAUUUGGUCGUCCAUCCCAGAAUUUGUAUGUAAAUCAUAUUGUGCUUGUAUUUAAUUUAGGUAUUAUAUAGGUAGCAGACAUAGGCUUCAUAUGUAAUCCAUACAAUGAGUAAUGUUUGCUUUUAUGUUGACCUAGUGUUCGUCUUGAAUUUGAUUUUUCCGCGACGAGUGGAAUUCUAGACCAUUUGAAUUCUGUGUGUAUAGGGUACUGAAUUUGGUACUGCCUUUAUGUAUACAAUAAAUUGUUUUUCUGGAUUAAUUUUCCUUAGUUCCUGUUUUCGAUUUCCUGGAAUUUUCAUAAGGAUUCGCCAUUUCUUUACCGUAAUUUCAAAAGAUGUAUGUAGUCGAUGUAAAUGUUCUGCUGACCAGUUUGCUUCAGGUCCAUCAUGAAAAACACUUUGAUGAUCGUCUUGGAAGGAUUUGGUUUCAGGUCUUCUUGUACGAGAGAUGCUUCGACAUGCGGGCGAAAAAUAUACAAAUCAGGUAUGUGUUGGAAGAUUUUCAUAGCUCAUGAGUUUACAGUAUUGAUUCCAAUUGCUUCAGGUCCGGGUCUGAAAUAUCAAGAUCUGCAUUCUCUAACGAGUUCCUGUAGGAAUCGGCCGCGAUCUUCCCCUUGCUAGCACUACUGAAGAUACAGUUUUGAGGAGGCUGCAAAGAAGACGGUUAUCAGAAAUUGUAGCUUUGUUGUGUAUACGAAAGGAGAUGAAGAUAAAGAUUCACCUGUCCAGUGCAUUAAGGGCAGUAUCAAUCUGUGCCUUCAUAGAACUGACCGGAGCUCGUUCAUUCCUCGUUGCGUGCCAAAGCAAAGAAUCCAGCUCCUCCAAGGCCCUUCAAAAAUAAAAAAAUCCGGGUCUCAAGAUUGACAUCGGUCAUAAGCUUGUUACUGCUCUCUUGUAUCCAGUUCAGAAGAGCCAUGUUUUCGCCGGGACAGUGAUGGUACCUGAGACAUUGAUCAACAUCGCUUGAAGCGGUUUUCCCAUUGCCAUCAUCGUCUGAAGCAUACCGCACCACCUAUAGUUCCGGUAAACAUUUCCGAAGCUCUUAGGAGUUCAUAAUGUACACAAAAAACUGCCAACUUACAUAAAGCAUGUAGACUGAUGCUACUCGAGGAAACCUCUCACCUUACAGCUCGAAUAUUUACGCGAAGUGAUGCUGCCGGGCCUGAACGCAGCAGAGACCGGCAAGUAGCAAACUGGGGUUGGUCACCUUCCAGAGAUUUCUCUGCAGUUGUUGAAACAUUACAACAAAUUUCUACCACUUUAACGAAGUGACGAUACACCAACAACAAAAUCUUAUUCCAUUAAGUGAGAUCGGCUGUAUGAAUCUUAGAAUGUCAUUGCGUUCGGAUAAAGUAACAAUAAAUCGUCGAAAAUUACAAGAGAGAAAUUGACGAUCAAGGAAAGCAAAAGCAAAGGAUAUUACCAAAGUCCUUGAUUUGUAAUUGGGUUAAUAUGACUGGCGAUACAUAAGCCUCGAGAGGGUCGAGUUUUUUCCUGAGUUUAUCAUAUUUAGGCAUUCCAUGGGGUAAAAACCCUUUUUCAGCCUGUAGCGGAAAAAUUUAAAAGUACUCUUAGGUCAUAAAAUCGUUUUCUAUAGCUAGAAGCACUUGGGUUGAAAAAAAGAGAAGACUGUAAUUCUAACAAAAACACUUCUAUCAAAAGCAUUUGUGACCACAAGUGUACAUCAUGUAUUCUGAAAUGGUCCUGUUGAGACUCGUCUGGAAUGGCUUCUCUAAAAAGCACUUAUGCUUAUAAGCUACAAAACUGCUUUUCUAAUAAACAAGUUCAACUUUUUGUUAAAAAUCAAAGUACUUCUUUCUUCUAAAUUUUUCAACCAAAAGCAAUCAGUUGCGCCUUUCAAAAGGCGCUUUUAGCCCCCUCCCAAAGCUAAAGCUUAAAGCAUCCGAAAGAUGAUGCAAUAAUAGCCAAGCACUAAUUAAAUAAAGUAAAUUGCAACGACCUUUUCACAUACUUAUCGAAUCCGCUGCCGGCAACAGCAUCUGCAUUAAACCCAACAAUACAAGUUUAAGUUUUGAUUAGAAAAUUUUUAAUUUUCUUUCCUGCCAAACAGAUAAUAAGGAUCUACAAGGCGUACGGUUAGGGACAAGGAGCAAAUUAGAGACGGCAAAGACACAGAAGAUGGAGACAAAUCUCCUGCUUUCCCGCCAAUUCGAUGGUGGCGAUGCGCACCUUACUCGCCGCAGCCGCGAGUUUUUCGACGUUGCGGCGAGCUUUACGGGCUAUGAGAGAGGGACAGUUGAGGAGCUGAAGGGUAGCCCAACUAGGCGCCCGCCUAGGGCCCCACUUCAGGGGGCUCUCAAAUUUUUUAAUUUUUUUUAUAUAUAGGGAAGUGUUAUUGACAUUCUAAAAAUCUCAUCAUACACUCUUUACAAGUGUAUUUUUCUUUCUAAAUAUAGAAAGUUUGUAAUAUAGAAUAAGAAUUUUGGAGUUCCAAUCAUAAUUUUCUAUAUAUAUAUUUAUAUAUAUAAUUUUGUCGUUUGAGUAAAAUAUCUAAAUAUAAAAUUAUAAAUAUUUUUUUGGAACUUGCCGUGCAACGUUUUGGGUGGGGGGGUCCAAAAUAUUUCUUUUUAAAUAUGUGUGUGUGUAUAUAAUAUAUAUAUAUAUAUAUAAAUAUAUUUUUAGAGUUUGAAUUUAAUAAAAUAUUUAAAUAUAAAAUCAUAUAAUUGUCUUGAAACUUGGCGUACAAAGUGUCUUGGGUGGGGUGAAACUUCAGCAACAAUUCAACUGUUUUUUGGGAAUUUAACGCACAACAUACUGGUAGCAAGUCUGCGCUUGCGAAUCGGUUCUUUCCCACUCCGUUUAUAGAGGUCAAGUACCCGAUCAAUGCCCCUCUUCUCUUCUACUUCUUUUUCUAUAAUUUAAUUUGUGAGCGUUGUGUUUGUAAAUAUAAUUAGGAUUUUCGAUUCUAGGGUUUAUGAUUUGUUUAUUUUAAUGCAUAUUGUUUAUGUGAAAUCAGAGUAUUCACUUGUCAAGUGUCUAUAUUGCAGUUAUAAAAUUCAAACUUGUGGAUGCACUUAAUAAAGUGGUUAAAUCCCUUCAAGAAGAUAAAUGGAUUAUGGGUGCACUUAACAAGGUUGGUUACUUUUGCUUUCUAACUAGUUUUGGUUCAAGAUAAUUCGAAUUUUCAAUGUUGAAUUUUACCGUAUUUUUUAUGCGCCUCGUUUUGUGUUGUGUCAUCUGUAUCAAACUUUUGUGUUGGGUAGUGGGUAAAAUUUGAAUUUUAGUUUGUUUCUUUGUCAAUUUGUUGUUUACAGAAUAUUGAGUUGAUUCCCGAAUGCAUGGUUGUUUCCCGAAUGCAUGGGUUGCUUAUCGUAUUUUGUUAACCAUACCAGUUACAGUUGCCUCUGCAGAAAGAAGUUUUUCACAAUUAAAGUUGAUUAAAUUGUAUCUUCGAUCAACUAUGUCACAAGAAAGAUUGAAUAGGUUAGCUAUUUUAUCAAUUGAAAAAGAAUUGUAAACUUAAUUAAUACAUUUGCGUCUAAAAACACGAGACGUGUAAUAUUUAAGUAAUGUUUGCAUAUCUUUCUUCUUUGGAUAUGAAUUCUAAUGAUUUUUUUAUGUAGAAAUGAACUUUUUCAUGUAUUUAGUGAAACAUUUUCUUAUACAUAUAAAUGUACAAUGAGUUGGGUAAGAACUUUAGGACCCCCACUCAAAGGCUCGCCUAAGGCCCCCAUAUUCUUAGGGCCGGCCCUAGGUGCUAACGUGCGCGGUGCCGCUCAGUGUGACCAUGCCACCAAAGCUGUCUUAAACAGAUCAGAUGUAAAGAACUCUGUGAGUUUUAUCCGUUUGUACAUUUGAGUUGGUCCCUAAUAAUGAAAAUUGAUAGAAGUGGUUUUAAGUUAAGUUUGUCCAUUAUAAAUCAUUUUCGUCAUUCCGUAAAAAUUUAUUAGUAUCCUCGUUGUAUCCUCGUUAUUUGUCACAUGACCACGUUUUUUUAAGGGUGCUUUAGUCAAACUAACCCUUCCUCUUAACAAGAAUAUUGACAUAUUUUUUUACGAAAUUAUCACUUCUAUCGAUUUUCACGAAAUGACCCCUCCACUUAACAAAUGAUGAACUAAGGACUAUUUCUUUCGAUUUUCAUUACCAAAUAUCAAAAUAAAAAGUUAUGAUAAUCUCAUAGAUAUCUUGGCUGAAAAGUCUAACAACUAAUUAACUAACCAACCUCUGUAAUUAAAUGCUCUUAUAUUCUCUCCCUAGGCCACCACAAUCAUCAACUGUCUUAACUGUCAAUAACUGCAUAGCAACAUUCAGUUAAGCCAUGUUGUGUACCAAACUGCCAAUGAUUGGCAUCAAAUGUGAAGGGGCUGAACUUUGAAGGAACAUUUAUCCAUUAUCCAAUAGUUCAUUUAAAAGUGUUUUUAAAAUGAUUGAAAGUGUUUUUAGAGAAAUAUUUUUGGGUUUCAAAAACACUUCGUAUGAGCAUCUUACAGGAUGCACGUUAAGUGUUUUUUAAAAUUUUUAAAUUUACGUACAUAUUUACCAAUAAUUAGUUCUAAAAAUAUUUUAACUAAAAGAGUUUUUACAUAUUUUAAAAGACUUCUAAACCAGCCCGAAACACGGAUUGAAUUCAAUGACCCGGUUGGUGGCCUACAGCAUCCCCACAAGGCCCACAAACACAAGUUUUCUCCUUCCUUUCUUUAUAAAAUUAAUUAAAUUUAUAAAAAAAUUAAUCAAAUUAAAAAAAAAAAAUUAAGAAUAAAGGGUCCUGCCUGCCCAGCAAAUAAUAGCUGUCCAGUUCUAGUAAAUCCCGGACCCGAAGUGAAGCCGGCGCAUUACUUACUCAUCCUCUCCUCCCCUUAUUCUCUCUCUCUCUCCCGAGCUUCAGCAACGAUGGCGGCAAACAGUACAUGGUUUCUCUUUCUUGUAGCUUCUGUACUCAUCGUUUCAGCUUCAGCUGGCACCCAAAGUAAGUCCCCAUCAAGUCCUGCAAUAAAAAUAUAUUCAAAGUUUCCAUCUUUCUGCAUAUAUUUUAUUGCAAGAGAACAAUGCAAGUACAAAAUGUUGGAACUUUGUGAUGCCUGUCUUAGAUUUGGAACAUAUAUGUCUAAUUGGUACUGAUACUAAUUGUUGGAUCUGCUGCUUUAAGGUUGUUGGGUUUCUGUUUCUUUAGUUUGAACUACGAAUGUCUCGUCUUUGAUGUACUUUCUCAAAUGUGGAUGAACUUUUCAUCUCUGCAUUUCCAUAAAAGUCUGAAUUUAUUGGUUGAGAGUUUGUUGUGGACUUGGAUCUUUGGGUCAAAGAUCAGAGCUUACAAUUAUGGAUCUUGGAUUUUUUUAUGUUUAGGGGUAUGCUUGAAUUUUAGCAUAGCCAAGUUGGGUAGAGCGGUGUGAUCUCCACUAUGCACCCAAGUUCGAAUCACCCUUCUCGUAAUUUUGAUUAGAUUUGAGUAUCGCUCGAAUAAAAGAAAAGGGCGGGUUUGAACCAAUUACAAUAUUUUCUUCAGUUGAAGGUUUGUUUUCUGGGGACCAAAACAGCAGAUUAGAUUUAAGAGGUGGCCUGUGAGUUGGGAUGCAAUGCAACUAAUAACAUUGCCAGAUUUUGAUUUCUAAAUUUGGCGUUGGACCUUUUAAAUCCUAAGGUGAUUCAUUUUCCCCCUAAUUUGAUGCUGUGCUUAUACGAAUUCGAUACAUUUUAGAAUCUACAUGGUUUAGUUUUUCGCUUCCCGCUUUUCACCACAACUCUUGUUAGGUUCAGUUGUUUUGCUUCAUUGGAUUCAUUUUUUUAACUGUAUUGGGUGCAGUUUUCGCUCCAUUAGGGUUCGGUUUUGCUUCAUUGGGUUCAGUUUUUCGCUUCAUUGGGGUUCUGUUUGGCUUUAUCAGUUACAUGCUCUCGGAUAGUGUAUUCUUGUAAGGAUCAAAACAUUUCUCCUUAAUGGUUAUUCAUUGUGUCGGUAUUAUUGUAUUUGCGGCUCACAAAAACUUAUAAACUCCUACUUAUGAGACCAUGGAUGAAAAUUGCAGUCAAAGUUACUAAUAACCCGGCGGAUAAGCUAGUUGAUAUAAUUAACAGCAACAGAACUGCACACAAAGCAUCAUCCCUCUACGACAACCAGGGUUUGGCGUGCAUUGCCCUGCAGUACAUAAAAGCGUACCAAGGUGACUGCGAUGCUGUAGGAGGGUCCGACGCCAAGAAGCCUCCUGAUUCUGCAUUUGCCGAAACAUUUGCUCCCAACUGUGGUGUUCAAACCUCAACCCUCGCUCCAAUCACUGGUCGUUUAAUUGGCUGCCAGUCCAAAUAUGUCCACGCUGACGAAGCAUUUUCGAAAAUCUUGAUUGAAAACAGCAAGGCCUUGGACAUUCUCUACGAUAAGAACCACACUGAAGUGGGAGCUGCUGCGAGUGGCAGUGAUGGUGGAGCUCCGUAUUUCUGGUGCGUGUUGUUCAGCAGCGGAAAAACUAACAGCACCUUUGUAACGGAGGGAGGUGAGGCUAAAAUAACAAGGCCCGGAUGCUUUAGUGGUGCUAAUGACGAUUGCAGUGAAUCUAAUCACCCAGCCAGUGGUGCCGAUGAUUGGUCUAGAAGCAGUCGUCUGUGGCCAUUUUUCACCACGGCUCUGAUUGCAAUGUCGUAUGCCUUUGGAUUGUGAUCAUGAUCAUGUUUUUUAUGAAAAAAGCUGGAUUUGUUUUCUACUUAAUUUUGGGGACCCUUUUGAUCUGUUGUAAUUUGAGUUUUGUCUAUCGCAUUUGUUGUCAGUAGAGUCUAACGGCGCGAUCAAUGCCAUUCAUUUUCUUCGGUUGUAAACUAGUACAUUAUUGGCUAAUGGCUGGCUAGAAGCAUUUGUUCCAUAUUACAUAUGAACAAUGAACGAUCGGUUCGGUUCAAAUGUUUUCCUAAUUUGGUACGACUGGAAAGAUAUGGAGAUAAGAAGCUGCUUACUCUUAUUUAUAUAAGCAGAUACAUGAACUUUGUUCGGUACAACGAUGAGAAAUUACACAGCGAAACGAACAAGUACUGCAAACGAUUUGAGCUUAAGGCUCCCAGUUCCUAAUGGAAGAUUUACACUUCAAAAUCAAAGCCAGAACCAUGAGAAUUAUCGUUAUACCACACGAAGAACCGCCAACUCUGUGAAUCCAAUAAGGAUCAAACCUGGAAAAGCUUCGGUCUAAGUAAAGCGACAAAGCAAUGGCCAAGAUCAACACCAAGAGAAGAAGAGGCAGCCAAGAAGCAAAGUUGAUAGGCUCAUCUGGAUCAAGCUCUGAAUCAUCUAUAGUUCUUCGGUCGAUAUAGAGAGGAGAAAGCACGGCUAGAAGGGCCAACCCUAUCGCCACCAGCUUAUCGUAUGACGAAAACCUGCUCGUCCUCCUCGUAGCUCCGAGCUCCAUUUUAAGCUACCAACACAGGAGCGGCAGGAGAAACCACCUGCUGUUUUCUGACUUGGAUGCUUUUUGAAAGAGUAGAAGUUAGCAGCUUAAACAUGAAGGCUCAAGUGCAAGAUAGAGUGGGAAAGAUAAACAUGAAGGCUCAAGUGCAAGAUAGAGUGGGAAAGAUUAUUCUCCAUUAACAAAAAUUUAUGAAUAAUUUGUACUGGCUGUGGCUGAAUAAUAAUUUGGAAUCGGAUUCCACAUGCUUCCCAUGAAUUUUUCACUCUCGUCUUACUGAGUUGAAUCUGUUGAGAGUAUCAAUUCCAUAUCAGAAAAAUGAGGAAUCUUCAAUGUGCUUAUAAGUAGUUGAGCUAUUCCCCACGUUGCCAAUUGGUUUUAUGAUAGAACCUCAACUUUCUUUAUGGUAUCAGAGCAAGUUGUCCGCGUGUGAAGACUAGCGAUCACACGUACCCUACGCCUCCCGAUUCGUGUUGUCCACAUGAUAGACUUGAAAAUUCGCUACACAUAUGGGUGUGUGUUGAGAAUACCAAACCCACAUCGGGAAAAUGAGAGGGGCCUUGCAUGUGCUUAUAAGUUGUUCUGCUCCUCACGAUAUGCCAAUUGAUUUUAUGGUGGAACCUCAGCUUUCUUAAAAAAUCGUUAAAAUGGUAGCAAAUUUGAUAUUCAUAUUUUAAUUAUUUGCACUCUAAAUUGAAUAUUUUAUAUUUUUUCUGCACGCUCAGAAACAUGCAAUAGGCUAAAAGACGAGCAUUAAAAUCUUCGGCCUAGUUGAAAAUAAGGAAAACUAAUGACACUACUACAAAAGUGGCUUAUUAUGUCGGUUUUAUAUAAUAUACUAGCGGAUAAGACAUUUCCGACACCCUCCUUACAUGUUGUUGGAAUUAAUAUCGGGUAUAACCGACAUAAACGGUUUAUGUCGCUUAUAACUGACAUAGACUGUUUUUAAAUAGUGGUGUCGUAUGAAAAGAAAACCGUGUCGCUUUCAACCAACAUAAAGUUAGUGUCAAUUAAAAAAAGAAUCGUGUCACUUCUACCGACACUAAUAAUUAUAUUUAAAUAUUUUAAAACCUAGUGUUAGUUGCAGCCGACACUAAUAAUUAUUUUUAUAAAGGAAGUGGUGAAAUCACACACACUUAACUACAAAAUUUAGAGAAGGCGUGGGACAAGAAUUUUGCAAAAUUUCAAACAUCUUUGAAAUUUAAAAAUUUCACAACACUUCGGCACACUUCUCAAAAUAAAAGGGAAGUUCAAAUUUUAUUUAUUGGUUUAUCUCGUCCCAUCAGCUAGUAACUGCGAAACUCCCCCUCCCUAAAUCGUGAGAAAUUUUUUCGAUUUUCUUGCUUCUUUCUUCCUUUUCCACAUUGAGUCCUCAAGUAUCUCCACCACUCUCUCUCUCUCUCUCGCUUUCUCCCCCUCUUAGGUUGGCUACCAAUAAAAUCCCAAUUCACCACUCUUCUAUUUCCUCGGUAACCAAACAGAGAACCCAUUUUGUAAAGCUCCCAACUUUCUCCUUCAAUUGGAUUAAAAUUUGUUAAUUUUGUGUCAAAUGUUGACUUGAAACUUUGUGGUUUAGUUUGUGAAGGGAAUUUAUGGAAAUGGACAUUGAUGAGCUUCUGGGUCGCAACCGGCCGAUGAGCAUUUCAACGAAGAGGGCGAUUUACUUGUGGAGAUAUAGCAAGUCCGAGCAGACGGGUCAGAAUGGGAAGAAGCAGCAGUUGAAGAUCCCGAAGCAGCUCUCCGAAGCUUUUUGGGUGCUCGGCGAGGGCUAAUUGACGGUGGCUAGACAUUGCUUGUGACCGCUAGCAUACCGCCUUUGCUGCCUCAGAUGGGUUGCUUUUCACUUGGGGUAAUUAAGCUUCAUCUUUUUUAUUUUAUUGUUUUAUUUUUUUAUAAAUUUCAAUUCUUCCAUUUUUUAAUUUAAUCAAGUAAUUAUAAAUUGUGUUUGGUUUAUGUGCAUUAGAUAACCAGAAUGUGUAAGCAAUUGUUCAGGAGCUAGUGAUUUCGGUCUGUUAGGAGAUGGAACGAAGCAGUUAAAAACUGAGACAGACUUUAUUUUUAUUUUUAUUAUUAAUGGUUUGUGGUGUCACUUAUGGACGACAAUAUAAUUGUUAUUUUAUUAUCAAAUUAUUAGGUGGUGUCUCCAUCCGACAUUCAUUGUCAGUAUUUAAUGUCGCCUUUAUCUGACAUGAGCCUUGAUGUCAUUUUUAACCAAUGCUACUGUCCUUUUUUAUUUUAUAUUGCUUUCCUUCUUCGUGGCGGAUUAAGGGGACUAACCGAUGUCGAUACCCUUUUCGUGACACUAGCAAUGGUGUUGGUUCCCCUAUCCGACAUUGCAAGAUUUGAUGUCGAAUUUUUGGUAAAAAUCCAACAGUAAUUGGGGUUUCUUGUCGAUUUUUACACCGCCAGGGAUAGCCUCUUUUGUAGUAGUGUGAAAAUGGCUUGAAAACUUUGAGUUUUAACAAAAAUGACAAAAAUGUGUUGUAAGUGAAUAGUAUCAAGAGUGACUUUUUUGAGUAAAAAUGUCCUUAAUGUUAAAAGUGAAUAGUAUCAUGAGUGUUUCAUUAAGAUUCCCUUGAAAAUAUUACUAAAGUUGAUUAAUUUAUCAAGAGAAGGAAUACAGGUACAGGCAAAACUACCCAAAUCAACUUAGGUCUAAUGAAUAAACCCAACAAAGAAGAGAUGGGGGACUUCACAGUUCAAACUUUUCUCUUGGCAUGGCUUUUUAUCUGCAUCAUCUUUCUUAUGAUGAUGUCAUUGUGAUGGUAUUCCACAUCAAUCAAGCACCGUCGUGUGCUUAAACUGCAUUCACAUGACCAUGUUUGAUUGGUUGAGGAUAGCGCCAUAAUGGCGUCUCAGUUACAAGUAGGUUUCCCUCCUCAAGUUCUGUUUGGGAUAAAACUUGAACGUUGGGUUAAAAAGGGGUUAGCCCAAAAGAAGGUCCAGAAGGAGGAAGAGUCCAAGGCCCAGCUGAAGCCCAGAAGAAAGAAUGAGCAUUUUUCCCGACCAAGUGCAGAUCAUUCAAACCACCUACUCACCUACCUAGAGCUCAAGUGGUGUAGACCAGCCAGCUAAUCAGCCCAAAAGUACUUUACAAUGGCAGUACAAGUAAAAAGUUGAUGAGUCACUGCCCUUCAGAUGCAUUCGGGCAAAAUCAAUAUUGCAGGCAGCCAAGCCAAUUCGUCUAUAAAAGGAGGAAGAAAAAUCAGAGAUAAUGACACUCAAUCAAACAAACAAAUACAAUCACAAACUCUGCUCAAACCAGAUUUGCCUUCACGAAGCUGUAGUCAGCCCCCAAGCCUUCAUCUCUUUCGGGAUCAAUCUUCACCAGAAAGCCUUUGUAAAAGCUCUGCUACCCUGUUUAAAUAUUGUUGUAGUAUCGAUUCCCUCAUGUAAACUCAUCUUCCAAUCUCCCCUUCUAGCAUUCAAACCCUUUGUAAAUCACAAAGAGAGGAAAUUGCAAGACGAUCAGCCUUGCCUAACAAAGUGAAACCUUGCCCGACCUCCUUUGUUUUUGUCUUUCAUUCAUAAAUCUAGUAAUAUGAUGUAUAUUUCCAUCUGCAUCCAAGUUAUUUCUAGCCAGUUUAUGACUAAAAGACUUCUAAGUUCUAACCAUUCGGGCAGACAAGAUUGAUCAAUUAAAAGUCCUUGGUCUCAAGGCAUAAAAAAAGAACCCUAUGUGGACUUAACCCAUCCACGACAGUCCUUGAUAACAAGAAGUCUGAAGUUACUUAGGUCGCAAGUAAUUGGCCUAUUUUCUAGUUUUACUUUUGUUAUAUCAUGAUUGCUACAGAACGCUUGAGUAUAGAAUUAAUUCUGAUAGGAAGCCUCAAGGCCUAUAUCUAAGGCCCGAUAAAGGCACCUAUCUAAGUUUGUUCUGCUCUGCGGGCUCGGGCGAUUAAAGUAUAACGGUUGUGAUACUUCUGCAAUAAUGAAACAACUAAUAUAUGUUCAAGUAUAUGGUUAGUUUUGACGGGAAGUCUCAAGGCCUACACCUAAGGCCCCACAAAGACACCUUUCAUAACUAACUUGGUCUCUCGGAGACAUAUAUAUAAAAUAAAACUUAACAUUGGUUUUACAUCUGUCAUGCUAAAGAUGGCAGUGGCACGCCUGGGUACUUAAAGUUAAUUUUGAUUGUGAGCCUCAAGGCCUACACCUAAGGCCCUACAAAGGCACCUUUCAGAAUUAACUCUGUCAUUCUCUUACAGCCCGCCAAUAAGCAGAAGCCCGACAGACAAUAUCAACCGGCGCCAACCUCUCAGGGAGCUGUGUACUCGUUGGCCAGGAAACGUCCUCACUGGAUAUUCCUCAAGAUGAACAAGUUCAUUACUCCACACUAUUUAUAGUAAGCAACAUGAAAGCAUCAAUAGAACCACUAUCUUUAUGCCAGGCAAAAAUUUUCUUCAAUCUCAGCCAAGUACAAAACAAACAAGGGACUAGCCGGAAGAUUAGUGUUUGGUACUCGAUAUUGCAAGAGAAUACAGUGUAAACCUAACUGACACCGCCGGAGCUCUUCGUGGUGUUGUUGUUGCUGCCCUGGAGCCUCGUCAACCAUUUCUUCUGAGGUGUAGAGAGGUUGGUAAUUCCAGUAGGGGGAAGCAACGAGUUGUUGGGAAGCUCCUGACGACGGUGACGAUGGAAGCUCUGCCGGUAGAGCGGCAGCUGUGCUUGUCAAGGCCUUCAAAACCAGGAAUGCCAGAAUGGGAGAGAGAUCCAAUGUGCCUCCAAGUGGUGGGAUUAAACCCCGAAAUGUGUUCAAGUACGGAUCACUUAUCGUGCUGCACAUCAUAUCCACGUCCACAUCAUAAUCAUUUCGAUGUUUUUUUACCCUGACAAUUAGUUAUAUUAUGUUGUCAGACUGUAAAUUACGAAAAGUAGAAUUCUGGGAUCCUAAUUCACAGUUUGUUCAAGUAAAAUAUCGAACAUUGAUAACCAAAAUCAAAUCAUGACAAUACCUGAGGGGUGCAACGAUGGCAGGAGGGGAGUUGGGGAACGAGGCGAGGACAAGCCUAACGACCAAAAGAGUGUUGUACAAGUUCAAGAAGUUGGAGAUGCCGUUCGCCACCACAAGCCCCACCACCAAAUCUCCCGGCAACACCGCCGCAAAAUUGUGAGCCGCUAAUGUCUUCACCUGCCUAUGAUUUCUGCACCCAAUCUGAACUCAACCAUUUUUAGACUACCUUUUGUAGACCAUGUGACAUAGCGGUUGAUUGUUGGGCUAACUUUUGAACAAUUUUAAGAAGUCCAACCAUUAACCGCUACGGCGAGACUGUAAAGUGUAUCGAUACUGAAAUUAAUUCACCUGGUGGCAG